UUUCCCCAUCUUGAUCUUGUGAUCAUCGACGACAUCGGAAACAUGCAACUCCAAUUCCAUCUUCUCCCCCUCAAUUCUUUUCAAUUUUUCUUUCAAAUACUCGUUUUCUCUUUCAACUAAAUUUAACCUCUCGACAAUAGGGUCGGUUGGAAUUUCCGGUUCACAAACCUCCUAGACAAAAAUAUCUAUGUCAACUUGAUGGGCAUAAUUUGUCAUAAACAUGAAACGCAACAACUAGUUUUAAAAGAGAAUAUACCACAUCCGAAUCAUAACAAGGACGAGGGCCGACGGGGACGGAUAUCAAAACCAUGGCACUAUGUAUAACAAACAACGUACGGGUAAGAUAAUUAUACGAGUAACUAUAUAUCCAAAUCACACAAACAUCAAUUUGGUAAUGUAAAACAUUCAUGAACAAGAGGCUCACCACAAGGUGGUGCCGGCGACGGAACGGUGCGGGCGAUCGACUGUGGUUACGACGGAGAUUUAGAAGGCACUAAGUAAACCACACCUACAUAUGCAAAUUAAGUGUUAUUUUGACCUCAAAUUGCAUAUAAAUCAAAUACUGGCACAUAUAUUUCCUCCCAAAUUACUAAACUCAUAAAUUAAUCACUAUACAAAGCAUUGCAAGAGCUAAUCUAGCAAUGAGAGAUGAAAGGACAAAGUUGCUAACCUUUGUGAUCAUUUGAAUGGAUGGGGGCCUUCAAAUCUUGACAAAUUUUGGGCAAAAUGUGUGAUGAGCUCGAGAGGAAGAGGGGAAGAACAGAGAGGAGAGGGGAAAUGGGAAGAACAGAGCGAGCUCGGGUGGACGAAGGGUUUAUGUAGAACGACCUUUAGCACCGGUUCGUGCCACGAACCGGUACUAAAGGUGCUGGAGGGUCCCCGGACUGACAACAUCCUGCCACCACUCACUUUAGUACCGGUUCGUGGCACGAACCGGUGCUAAAGGUUCGCCACGAACCGGUACUAAUGAGAGCAGCCGCCUAGCCGUUGGAACCGGCACUAAUGUGCAUUAGUGCCGGCUCAAAAUCAAACAAGCACUAAUGUGCUUGACAUUUGACCCUUUUUCUACUAGUGCCCACAUGCCGGGCACUCCUCCUACUCAUCUAUAUAUGAGAUAAAUAUGAGGGCUGUCGGACAGCCCAGGCAUUUAAGGAGGCUUUGAGGGGUCCGGUUUUUGUCAACUUUUUUCUUCUCUCUCCUGUCCGGUCAGCGGUCCCUGCGCCCAUCCGGGUAUGAGUAAUCCAGCUGUAGAUGCUCUAAGAAAAAGAGUGCAGCCUAUACCGUCGAUGCAGAUAGGAUUAGAUAGCCAUCUCCCAUAUUCGUGCCCACAGAAAGAUCUGAAUCAGUCCAGGGACAAAUACAAUACCUAUUUUAAGGGUUAGUGUUGAAAAUGCCCGUGUGUGAUUUUGCAAAGACAGAGCAUAUGACCAAGAUCCUUCAUUUACGAGGGGCUCGGGCACUUAGAGUAGUUUAUUUAGUAAUUGUGGCGCUUUUUGUUUUUGCAUCAAGAGCUUAAUUGAUUGUCACACAGGGUAUAGUCUUACAUGAUACAUUGAACUAAGAAAGCAGGAACAUAAUUUACUCACAUGCACCGACCAACGCCUAGAGGAGCUAGCUUGCUUGGCUUUAAGCUGUGCAAGUUCAUUUGCUUUCCUGUGCGUGAAAACAAGCUUGAAAAAUUCCAAUCUCCUGCUUAGCUCUUGAAUUUCAGAAAGGAUCGCCGAUAACUCUUAAGCAAUUAAAAUUCCUCGACUUCCACAUGCGCACAACAUGCUGUGCAUCUGUCUCAAGAAUAACAUGGCGCAAAUGGACCUGACUAAGCGUUCACCCAGCUAUCCCUACAUGAUUCUGACAAUGCCUCCUCCUCCUGCUUGGAUUCUGACGGUGCCUCCUCCAUGGAUCCGACGCGCGUUACGCCUGCUGUGCGUAGAUGUUCCGGUCCAACUUGUCCUUAUGCUCUUGGCCCUUACUAUGUGUGCAGGCGUGCAGUUAGCCUUUGGCACAGUAGCCUAGUAGGACGUAGGCUGCUCACAGCCUCGCCACCUCCGUAACCCCUACUAUGUAAGGGUGACGCGAGACCCUGGUCUCUGGUUUAGCAGCUAAGACGAUGCGGAUCCCAAUGGAAGUGGACAGUGGGGAUAACGGGGCAGGUGCGCCUAUGCUCUAUCGAAUAUUUUCGGGAAAAGGUCUGCCCUUCACGGCCGAGCAGGAAACAGAGGCGCAACAAGUGCUUCGACCCAGCGACGUGGGAGCUCUGAGGAGUACUAGAGCUAGAGAGGGACCCCCAGGUCAAUUACAGAAAUUUGGCUGUAAUCUUCCCCAAUCGCCUCUGUCUCAAACACUACAUCUUCCUUCUUCCUCAUACCUCCAGACUCCAUCCUGUCCACCUCAAAUCCCUGUAUCAGGUACUGGAUGUGUUGAAAUCGAGUAGAGGAACGUGAAAUUCAGGUUCAGGCGUGCCUCCUGCCCAUAUCAACGAUCAGGUUCCAGGGCCGAUUGGAUAGCUGGAGGUGCUGGGAGGCUCCGAUCGAAUGGCCCAGGGCCCCAAAUCGCUGAGAAGAGCUCUGGCUCCCCUGGCUCUUGUACUUUUAGGGUGUGUUUGGUAGAGUACAUGGAGGGUGUAUAAGGACAAAAGCUUUUCAAUCCGAUCCACUUUUGCUUGUUUGAUAUGGUGCAUGGGCUCACCUGGGCUAUGCCCAUCUGAUGCAAAAGAAUGGUCCUCAGCCAUGCUAACCCAACCCUCAUCCCCACCCACCAGACCACGUUUAGAUAUGUUUAAAUUUUCAAAAAAUGUUCAUAAUUUCAAUUUUUUCUUAAAUUUUCAAAAAUUAUCCGGAAUUUUAAAUUUUGUUAAGUUUUCAAAAAAGUUCAGAAUUUCAUUUUUUUUAUUUUUUUUAUAUGUUCAGAAUUUCAAAAUUGUUUAAGUUUUCAAAAAAUGUUCAGAAUUUUAUAUUUUUUUACAUUUUCAAAAAAGUUCAGAAUUUCAAAAAAAAAUAAAUGUUCAAAAAAAUAUAAUUUCUAUUUUUUUAAUUUUAAAAAAUUGUUCAGAAUUUCAAAUUUUCUUUACUUUUUAAAAAAAAUCAGAAUUUGUUUAAAUUUCAAAAAUGUUUAGACUUCCGAAAUAUGUUUAAAUUUCCAAAAAAUUCUGGAAAUUAAAAUUUUAUUUGAAUUUGCAAAAUAUGUUUAGAAUUUCUUUUUAAAAAAACUUCAAUAAAAGUUCAGAAUUUCAAACUAUGUUUAAAUUUUUGUUCACAUUUAUUCAAUUUGGUUCACCAUUCAAAAAAAAUAGAAUUCAAAAUUGUUCAGACACAUGCAGGCUCCCAAACAAAGUUUCAGCUCAGCAUGUCUCAGCGCAUACAUCGCUGCCAAACAACAGCAAAUGCAUGAACUCGGCAUGUCUACACUUAGUAUCCAUCAGACGAGAACAACUAGGUUAGGUCUAUACAUGCUACCAAACACACCCUUAGGUUCCCGUCACUUCCUAUUCCCUAAUGUGUUUUCAUAGUAAAUCAUCCCUUCUUCUUCUUUUGUUGUCUUGGGGUCAUCAUUGGAUUUUUUUUUUCACUCAUCGGUGGCCUAUAUGACAGGAAAGAGUGUUCUUCAGCUAGAGAGUCUUACAAUACAUAUAUAGGCCAAGAUGGAGUUGUACUAUAUGUACACGCCCACACACAAACUGGUAUGCCUGGCAGAAGGUUGUUGGGUAUGUACUAUCUUACAUUGAUUUACCUUGUAGCCGAGUGAUUAAUUGGUACUAUGUCAUAUUGUAUCGGUUGCAAUGCAUUCCCAUUUUAUGGCUCAACACACAUACUAUAUCCGGACUGUCUGGCAGCUACGUGCUCCACUUACUAGACACUACUAUGUGUGACACGCUAUGUUGACAAUUACAAUAUCGGAUAUUCAUUAAACAUUGUUUUUUUUAAACAAAGCGAAGGUGGAGUUUUCCGCUUUAUUUUUCAAAGGGCUAACAAACCGAGAGUACAAAUGCAGCACCCUCGAGGUAUUGACAGGGGUCAAAGACAGUGGCAGAGCCAGAAAGGAUCUUCAGGGGGUGAAACACAAAAUAUGGAUGUUUAGGAGGGCCAAAGGUAGAACAACUUCCAAAUUAUUUUUUCUCGCUAGACCACUGCAAACUGGAGGUUAACAUGUCCCCAAGUGCUUUGCGCAAGGCCAUGGCGCAAAGUGAUAUGGUUGAUGGAUUCGACAGCAGGACACCUAUCACACCCAACUUCAUGAUACCAACCCUUUCUAACCAUAUUGUCUUUAGUAUUCAUUUGUUUGAUGAAACCCUGUUAAGAGGGCAAGGACCUCAUGCAAUUGUGUAAAAAAGAAUAGUCUUGCACCGGUUUCUACAAAAAAAACAACUGAAACGCACGCAAGUACACGACUAAUUAGAGAACAAUGAUGCAAAAAAAACAAUGAAAGAAAAAAGAACAAGAAAGAACAACAGUGCCAACACCAUCCAAACUUGACCUCCACCAGUCCACCACCAACAUGCCCACAACCCCGUAGAGAAGUGAUCGAGCUCUCCGAAAGUACCUCCUAUUAUGAAAAGUGAAGCAUGUUGGCGCUAUCGUCGUCGGUACUGACCACCAUUGAAGACUUAAACUUCCACCCAAACCCGCACACCACUACAAUGCCAAACCUCGGAAAUAUGGCAUCCACGGGAACAGCCCAACAUGGCAACCUAAACCGACCCACCAGAGUCUAGUGAAGAGGAGGAGCCCUUCCACAACUGCUCCAAAUUAAAUUAAGAGGUAGUUCUAAAUAAAUUUCCUUGAUCCCGCGGAAGAUUGACAUUGCGUUGACGUGCAACCUAGAGAGAUCGACCGAAUAUGAAUGAACAACCAUCCAUUCAAGUUAGCACAGUAAAAGUUCUCAUAAAAGUACCACCCAAUGAACAUCAUCUCGACUAAGAGAAGGCGGGGUGCUAGUUGGUCUAUCGAGUAAUGAUCAUCUCGUUCCUGGUGUCUCGCAUCUCCUAACGAUCUGCCACGUUUUUUUUUAGUUCUUGUCUCAUUUUGUCUGGUCUACAGAGUUUGAUAUGCUACUUGGGUAAAGCGAGUGGUAUAUAUAUAGUCUUUUGAGUGUCUAUUUACUAACUACAUCAAGACAUUGUGCGCCCUUCAUUUUUUUUUUGAGGGAAGGCCAUCAUGGCAAGCUUUAUUGAAUUAUAGAAUACUUACAUCGUCCACGAGCUUACUGACAAUGACAUCAGAUGGCUCGUUUAACCAACUGAGAUUCGACUUAUUAAAAAAGAGAAGUUAGCUAUAUGCGCCGCUUGAUUGACAUUGUGCGCCCUUCACUUUUGUGUACAGGAAAUUUGUAUCAAAUGCGAGCUAUCUUUUCAGGGACUCCCAGGAAAAUAGAAACAGCCCCGCGUCGCCUAGCCCUGGGCGACUCGGGCACCCCCAGCAACACCAGCCCCAUCGGGCCUUCCUCGUCGCCUUGCGCCACCGCCGGAGGACGCUGUCGGGCGAAGCCUGCGCGGCAGACGGUGGCGCUGGGGCUUCCUCUCGUGACGGCCUCUUGGCUCUGUUUGGUAGGGGACCCGGAGGCGUGUCGGCGCACGUUGGGGCCACCGGUCUCCAGCGACCGCUGAGCGCGGCGUCCGCUCAAGGGGCGUGAGCGGCGGCUAUCGCCAGUGUGGCAUCCGCUAUGUCGGGGGUGUGCGGUUGGGGCUGCGGCGUUGGCUGGAUUAGGGCAUGGCCCAGAUCGGACGGCGCAGUGGUUCUCCACCAUGGACGGAUGCAUGGCAGGCUACGUCAUGGGCUCAGCCCUCGUGCCCUUGAUCUGCGGUGCUACUUCCGCUGUUGCAGCUGCAGUUGUGGCUGUGGUGGUUUGGUCCUAGCAAUCUUCGUCAGCCAUGGCGUCUUUCUGUCGAAUGUUGACCUCUUCGAUCUGUUCGCUGACGUGUUCCAGUCUUCCCUUUCAAAGAUCUAUAUGGAUUGCCGAAUGUCGCCUAUCUGGACCGGAAAGGCUCCGGUCGCACACGCUCUUAUUAUCAGCCAUCACGGGUUCAAAAGGGUGCGACGCGAAGCUUCGCUUUCUUAUCGGAGUCAUGGGACAUGUCUAAGUCGAGAUUCUGAAGCCAUUGAUAGAGGUGGAGAAAGUCAUGGCGGCUCCGAUUGGAGGUCUUGAUGCGUUGGCAGAAAGGUGUACUAGAUGCAUGCAAUGAAGACUGUCUGCUAGGAGUUGAGAUGCAUGCCAAAAAUUAAUUCUUGGUUGCUAUAUAUGUGGUGUGUUGUAAAAGUUUAUGGUAUGACUUAUCUGACUAUCUCGAUUUGAUCCAGAGAAUCUCCUGGGAGUUGAGAUACAUGAUUUGUGUGCAUCUUAAAAUAUGGCCUGGGAGUUCUGAACUAUCUCAACUUGAUAUGCAGUGUAUAUUUUUUCUUGAUUGUCCAGUAAUCUUGUGAUAUACUUAUAGUUACUAGUUUUGUCCAGGCACAGGUUUUUUCUGAGGGGUUCUUCAGAUGAUAAUAUAACGCCCGUUAUAGAUGAGCUCUAGAGACGACUAGCACCUUCACAAGUGCAGCUCAAUCAUGAUGGGAAGAUAAUUUAUGUGGCCAGCAUGAUGUGGAAGGUGUUGAAAAGAGUAGUAAGUUUAGUUGCCAUUUUUUUAACUAUAGAAGUCUAAAGAUGAGAAGGAUGGCUUUUUAUUUGUCAUGUUGCUCUAUCUCUGUAGUGUCAAUCGUAGUAUGUUUUAUCACAUAUGUUCAUCUGCAGUAUCCUAAUUUUUCAUUGAUGACUAACAAAUGGAACAGAACAUUUGGAAGUAAUGCAAACAUGCAUUUGUAAAAGAAAGCUAUGGACACAAAACUUAUGGUUGGGGUGUGGUCAGUUGGCCAGACCAUCUUCAUGUUUGCACUUUUAGAUUAUGUCCAAUUUAGUAGGACAUUAUUUGGAAGAAAAAAUUAGAACCUCCUGCUCGAGAAGAAAAUUCUAAUGUACAAGACCAAUUCUCCUAGGAGGACAUUUUGUUUAUUGGGGAAUGUAUUGCGAAAAAUUUGAGAUGCUAAAUUUUGAUUCAGUAGAGACAUGUAGCCAAAUGACAUUUAGAUAUCUAUAUUUACCACUGGGUCAACGGGCGAUUAAUUUAACAAACUUAGAUCAAAAUGACUCACAAAUAUAUUUUCUAUAUGUUUGGUUGAUGCCCACCGGUAGAUUAAUAAAAUGAUACUUGUAUUCCAAACUUGUAGUGUUAUCAUGAACCAGUGUAUCACUGGAUCGACGUCCUAUCAUGAACCAGUGCAUAGAAAGUGAUGGUCACGAUUAUGUUCCAUGCAAGAAUGAGGAGGCAAAAGCAAGCAAAUUGACCAUUUGGUUCAUGGUCCUGGAGGAGGAGAGGACCAUAAAUUCUUUAUGAUAUCCUAAUUUACAGGGUACAAGUUUGCUUCUCCCAUGUUAAAAGCCAAUACUCAAAUUGCAUAGUUAUUUUCGUUGUUAAUCCCUCGAAUAACUUGGAUUACUCUUAUAUCUCUUUUUUAUCAUGAUUUGUUUGUAGGUUCGAGUGAAAUUGGUGCAUUGAUAUCAAACCUUAAAUUUGAUAGUACUAAUUUCAGAAGAUGGGUGCAUAACAAUCAUAUUUCGUUAGUAUGAUUCGGAAUGAUUAUCUCUGUGGUACAAGCCUACAAUAGUACUAUGUUUUGGGGCAUAAUCCAUUUUUGUCGGUUGUGAGUCCUUGGCAUGAAUGAGCAUGUAUGGAGUUGGAUUUUGUAGAGGCCAAUUCAUUUGGUGAAUAGCUGAAUUUGCGCUUAUGUGAUAGCACAUUCGCACUGUCUCACCUAACUUACAGAGAACCUAGACAAGAGUUAGAUGGAUGUGAACUUACUUUGAAACAAAUAAGAGGUUUACUAGUAGAUUAUGUCAGUUGCUUAUGUGUCUAGGAGAAUAGUAACAUAGAGGGGCUGGAAUGUGUCACUUGUGUAGUUGUGUUUUGCUGAUGCUACAGAAUAUCUAGGAGAAUAGUAAUUGUCCUACAUAACCUGCAAUGUUCUUCUGAACUGUAAUUUUGAAUGAGCCAUUUUCUGAUAUUGAAAUCUAGCCAAAACUGAUCGUGUUUGAUAUAGUCUCAUUCUCAGAAUGCUACCCGGUGCAUGGCUUCAAAUUGCAACCUCCAACUUCAACAUAUAUAGAAUUUUCAUGUGAAAAGAGGGAAAGCUGAUGGCUAUAAAAGUUGGAGCUUCGGUGUGGCCUUCACACUCCGUUGGCUGAUGUGCAAAGGCAACCAAAUUGAAUGUUGCUUUGCAAAAUGACCAGGUAUAAGCGCAUAGCCAUAGCUGCACUGGUUUCAGAAGCAAAGGACUUUCAUUUGCCUGUUAAUUUGCUUGUUUUGAGACUUUCACAUGGUGAUGAAACUCCUUGUAUAUUUGCCGCAGAAAUCAUGUUUACAAAUUCCAAGACGUCAAGCAUCUCGUCCUGAACUGGGUCAUGGCUACCAUAUCUUGCGUAUAUUGUACAAGAAGCUAAUCCUGUAGAAGUGUUGAUACUGUCAAGGACAAUAUCGUUGUCAUGCAUACUCGAAAUCUUUUCCAGAUCAGGAAGUAGUUGGCCUCCUUUCUAUGUAAUUCUGAAACUGCAAUUUUGUCUUUCUACUUUAAAUCAAGAAUUGGGUUAUAACAAAAGGUGGUUCCACUGUUUUUCUGAGCAAGAUUGUAAUUUUCUUUUUUUCUCAUACACAUUAAAGUCGAUUUUGAUGCACAUUUCUUCGGCUAUGUAUGGUAUGCAAAUAUGUUUAGUGGGCUACAAUGCAUACCAGACAUGAGUGGCACCCACAAUCAAUACAAGUCCCCAUAAUAACCAAUUGUACAAACUCUCAGAUUUUUCUUAAUAUAAAUAUCGUUCUUCUUUUAAAAUGGAUAUGUGUGUCAACACACGUUCCAAAAAUUAUGUAAGCAAUCAUUCUCGGUACCAAGGUCAUGCAUGUCUCUAGGAUUACGAGUUCAAACCAGAGAUGCUUUCUAAAGUAUAUGCAUUGUAGCCCGUAGCAACACACGGGCGUUCUACUAGUAGGAGUAACACGACAGUUAAAGAGAUCCAAUGGGAUAAAAAUCACCAGGCAGUCAAAAGGUAAUACAAUGAUUUGAUCCAAUAAUGGUAAAAGGAACGUUUGAGCCUCCAGAUAACCUCGCGUGCAGGUAUGCCAAUAUCCUUAUAGGAGUAAGUGAUAGGAAAAGUCUACCACGGAUAUGUUGCAGCCCCCAUUUAAUUCAUGAGAAACCAAAGAGUGGGGAGAUAAGAAUUCACAUCCUCAGGAUAUGUUGCAGCCCCCAUUUAAUUCAUGAGAAACCAAAGAGUGGGGAGAUAAGAAUUCACAUCCUCAGAAGAUCAACAACAAGCUACAUGCUCAAACAUCGGGGCUUGACCUUCUUCACGUCUACGAUAGACGCAGGAGAUGUGUCGUCCACGUGGGAAACCGACUACAACUACAACAAUAUGUCAUUCACCGUCGUCGCUAGGGGACCUUCUUCCACCAUGCAAGUCGCUCCCUGCACGUCCUCCUUCCUUCAAGCCAUCAUAGCCCCAUUCUUGGACUUGAGGCACAUCACCCCUAUGUGUCCUUCCCAAUGGCUCUUAUUCCAUUAGUUUUUUUUCCAACAUUCUAUUGCUGUUUUCAGAUAUAUUUUUUCUGGCUAGGUCAUUGCAUAUAAAAUAUCUCUACACGGUCUUGGAUAUGGAGCAACUUGUAUAUAAUGUGCAAAGAAUUAAUUCGUACACGAUUUAUUAGGCUCAGGCUACACCUGGCCAGCUGGGUCUGGCCAGCCUGGCCCAAAAACCCGACAACCAAACUCGUCUUGACUCCACUUGACAACCAAAGCCGCCUAGUCCAUAGGGAAAAAAUAUUUGGGAUUACUAUCAUUAUGGAGAAGAUACAUUUACAUAAUCAUUUGGAAACUGAUUAAUUCAAUAUGUUUAAUUUUAAAUAAAUUAUUUUAUACUAUUCAGGAUGGAACAAGAUCCAUCUUGAUCUUUUGAUGUCGGUCUUAUCAAAUCAUGGCCAGAAAUUCAGGCUAGUCCAUGGUAUGAUCACACUAGUAGAAAACAGGGCUUUGAUCCAGGCCUGGCCAGCCCAUUAGUCCCGGUUCAGUCAAGAAACUGGGACCCAUGGGGCAUAGGUCCCGGUUGUGAGCCCAGGGGGCCGGCUGGGCCUCGUGGGGCAUUGGUCCCGGUUCGUCUGGACCAUUUAGUCCCGGUUCCAGACACGAACCGGGACCGAUGGGCCUCGCUCCUGGCCCACAACCAUUGGUCCCGGUUCUUGGCUGGAACCGGGACCAAAGGGGGUCCUUUAGUCCCGGUUCCAGCCACGAACCGGGACCAAUGAGGUGCCUAUAUAUUCCCCCUCGCCAGCAAGCAGAGCACUCCACUGCUCCGUUUCUUUCUGCCGGCGAGGGGAGGGCUUUGUAGUGCUCUAGCUCACCUCCUAUGCACAUGAGGUGUUUGAUGAAAUUCCUGAGCCACACUACUUAAGCUUUCUCCUAUCCAAACUCGACCUCCAAGCUCCAUUUUCCUCAAGAUUUGUCUAGGUUUAGCGGUCCAUCACGUCCCGUCCCCGUCUUCACCGCCGUCGAUUGCCCACGCCGAUCUCGUCGCCGAGUACCACCGUGGUCAGCCUCUUGUUCUUAUCUUCUUUCUAAAAGAAAAAAUUCUUACUUGUAUAAUUUUCUUACUUUUAUUAUUUUUUGUUAUUAUAUAGUGCGAUGGUUUUGGUAUCCGCCCCCGUCGGUCCUCGUCCUAUCUAUGAUUCGGAUGUGGUAUAUAUUAUAUUUUAUAACUAUUUGGUUCAUUUAUUGUUUAUGACAAUUAUGCCGACCAACGUGACAUAGAUAUUUUUAUCUAGGAGGUAUGUGAACCGGAAAUUCCAACCGACCCUAUUAUCGAGAGGUUAAAUUUAGUUGAAGAAGAAAACAAUUGCUUGAAGGAAAAAUUAAAAAAAUUGAGGAGGAGAAGAUGAUAUUGGAGUUGCAUGUUGCAGAUGUCGUCGAUGAUCAUAAGAUCAAGAUGGAUGCAAUGCGCUUGAAGAUUAGAAAGAUUAGAAAAUAUGACAUUCAUACCAAGACUUGGUAUCAUUAUGCCGUUGGAUCAAUUGUUACCUUGGUUGCGAUUAUGACCGCAUUUGUUGUUGCAUUGAAAUGUUUUACAUAGUUUUAAUGUACGGUUUAAUUAGAUGCUCUCGAGAACUAUGUAUGUACUUUGGUUUUAAUGUGAUGAUGAACUUCUAUUAAUUUGGUCACUUAUCUAUUCAUGAUGCUCUGUAAUGGUUUUUGACACACUUAAUUAUAUAUAAUGCGCUUGGGUGAUGUUGACGGCGAGCGCCCCAGGAAGAGGGUUCCUGCCAAGGUGAUGUGGUAUGCUCCUAUAAUACCACGAUUGAAACGUCUGUUCAGAAACAAAGAGCAUGCCAAGUUGAUGCGAUGGCACAGAGAGGACCGUAAGAAAGACGGGAAGUUGAGAGCACCCGCUGACGGGUCGCACAGAGAGGACCGUAAGAAAGACUUGCUCUCCAUAACUAUUAUGAUGAUGCCUUUGAUCUAGAAUAUCACUGCAGUUACAUGUGAAUAAAUGAAAUGCCUUUUGUAACAGAUGAGUUUUCGUCCGAAACGCUGAUACUUCGAAAGAAAUUGUCCAUUUUGUACAUGAAGUGCAUCCAGUUUUUGCCGUAACGCUCUCAACUUUUGAGCACAUGCUAUUUGGGUGAAAUGAUGAUACCAUGCCAACUUUCAACCUUUUCAGAGUUCAUUUGUAGUGAUUUUCAAUUUCAGGGUCAUAUAGCUCAAAAAAAUCAGUAAAUGCAUGAAAAAUAACAAAUGAAGUUAGAAAGGGUUGAAAAUUGAUGAUGUGGCUUUGAAUGGUGCAUUUUGAACACACAAAAAGUCUGGAGUUCAAAUAAGUUAAAAAAUGAAACCCCUUUGUAACAGAUGAGUUUUCGUCCGAAACUCGGAUGCUUCGAAAGAGAUUGUCCAUUUUGUACACGAAGUGCAUCCAGUUUUUGACGCAACCCUCUCAAAUUUUUAGCACAUGCUAUGUGGGUGAAAUGAUGAUACCAUGCCAGCUUUCAACCUUUUCAGAGUUAAUUUGUAGUGCUUUCAAUUUCAGGGUCAUAUAGCUCAAAAAAUCAGUAAAUGCAUGAAAAAUAACAAAUGAAGUCAGAAAGGGUUGAAAAUUGAUGAUGUGGCUUUGAAUGGUGCAUUUUGAACACACAAAAUGUCUGAAGUUCAAAUAAGUUCAAACAAUGAAAUCUCUUUGUAACAGAUGAGUUUUCGUCUGAAACCCUGAUACUUCGAAAGAGAUUGUCCAUUUUGUACACGAAGUGCAUCCAUUUUUAUCGUAACCCUCUCAAUUUUCUAGCACAUGCCAUGUGGGUGAAAUGAUGAUACCAUGCCAACUUUCAACCCUCUUCAGAGUUCAUUUGAAGUGCUUUUCAAUUUCAGGGUCAUUUAGCUCAAAGUCUGGAGUUCAAAUAAGUUCAUCAUUUCACCCACAUAUCGUGUGCUAAAAAGUUGACCGGGUUACGGCAAAAACUGGUGAAACUUUUAUGAAACUCUAAUAGCAAAAAUAAUGAACUAAAUGAAUGAACUAGAAAACUUUAAUGAAAAUCUAAUAGCAAAAAUAAUGAAUUAGAAAACUUUAAUUAAACUCUAAUAGCAAACUGAAAUAACAAAAUGUGAUUUUGAUUAAAACAGACAUUUCAAAUAAACUAAAAAUUACCAAAUUGAAUAUAAUGAUAAAACACAGUAAUAAUAAAUAGCAGGAAAAAGAAUCACUCAAAAAUCUAUUUUUAUAGUAAAGUUAUUCACAAACAAGUGAUUCACACAAAUUUCAAAAAAUUCAAAUUUAAACUAUUCAAAUUGGAAAAAUAAUGGCACUAACAGAAAGUUUAUAAUUUUUAUUACCUAAAAGCAAAAAGAAUCACUGAAAAACUGUAAUUAGAAACAAAAUAAAAUAAAUAAAGCAAAAACCAAAACAAAAAAGGAAAAAAUUAAAAAAUGCCACCUAGUGAGCCACCACGGCCUGAAUACGACUAGAAACCCAACACUGAGCCAGGAUUCAGGCCCGUAGAAGGCCCAGUAGGCCCACAGGCAGAUAAAGUCACUUUAGGCUCGUAAGCCUGCAUUUGAGAGGAGCUCGAAGUGAUCAGCGCAACCACGCUUAUAAACCAUUGUCGAGGCCUCUCGGCUAGCGAGGUGGGACUAAACAUCCCACCGCACCGCGCCAGUUCCAGCACAAGGCCUUUGGUCCCGGUUGGUGGCACCAACCUGGACGAAAGGGGUGCAUUGGUACUGGUUCGUGCUACCAACCGCGACCAAUGCCCCCCUUUCAUCCCGGUUGGUGCCACCAACUGGGGCCAAAGGUCCAUGUUUCCCGCCCUUUAGGCUGCUAAAAAGAAGCCUUUGGUCCCGGUUGGUGGCACGAACCGGGACCCAAGGGGUGCAUUGGUCCCGGUUUGUGCCACAAACCGGGACCAAAGGGGUGCAUUGGUCCCGAUUUGUGCCACAAACCGGGACUAAAGGUGUGGCUAUAUAAGCCAACACUUAGGAAUUUUUUCACUUCCAUCUCGCAGUUGCCCCCGACCACGCCGACGACAACGACGCCGCCAGGCUGCCCCGACGCCGUCCGCCGCCCCCGCCCCGUUGACGUCGCCGUCGUCGUCCCCAAUCCCGCGCCCCUGUCCCCGCCCCUGCCAUCGCCAACAUUAUCGUCUUCGUCCUCGGGUGCCGGCAAUCCCCAUCGCCGAUUCGCCACCAUCCGUGCUUGCUCAGGCCGGCUGAGCAUCUCAACGCAAUCUCCGUGAGCCCCUGUCUCUUUCCCCCUCACUCCCAUGCUCAAAUGCUCUCCGUAGCCACUGAUUCACCGGAGACUAAAACGUGCCGCCGCCCGAGCUCGUCGCCGACGUAGCUCCGGCCACUUCUCGCACAGCCGCCUGCUCCCCUGGAUAUGCACGUGCGCGAGCUACCUCCAGGUGGUCUCCGUGCGCGCAACCGCCGUUGUUUUGGUCACCGCCAGCCGAGCUCCGACGAGAGCCGACGUGGCGAGGCCAUUAGGGACUGACAGCAGGCCCCACAGCAAGGUCAAACCCUAGUCAGCGUCAGGUUUGACCGGGAUUAGCUCUGGGUCACUGACUAGUGGAUCCCACUGGUCAGGUUUGACCUGGGUCAACCCUGGGAUUUUAGAUAAAUCAGAAAUGAUUUAUAAAUUUCAGAAAAUAUUGUAAACUUUGAAAAAUCAUAGAAAAUAAUCUACAACUCCAAAUGAAAUAAAUUAUAUAUGAAAAAUUAUCAAAAAAUCCAAAGAAUCUGUUUACGGCAUUUUCAUGCAUGAAAAAGCAACUUAACCUUGCGGCUAUGUGGCUAUAUGUAUUUUUUUCAUAUAUGUGGCUAUAUGUAUUUUUUUGUUCAUAGCAUUUUUUCCAUGUAUGUAUGGAUGUUCAUAGAAUUUUUUUAUAUGUAUGUUAUUGUCGAUAUAGCCCCUCCCCGAUAACUUCGACAUGAGGGAGGGGGGUCGAUAUACCCCCUCCCGGUAACAUUUUUUUCCAUGUAUGUAUAUGUCGUUGUUGAUAUACCCCCUCCCCGAUAACUUCUACAUGAGGGGGGUCGAUAUACCCCCUCCCCAAUAACAUUUUUUUUCNNNNNNNNNNNNNNNNNNNNNNNNNNNNNNNNNNNNNNNNNNNNNNNNNNNNNNNNNNNNNNNNNNNNNNNNNNNNNNNNNNNNNNNNNNNNNNNNNNNNNNNNNNNNNNNNNNNNNNNNNNNNNNNNNNNNNNNNNNNNNNNNNNNNNNNNNNNNNNNNNNNNNNNNNNNNNNNNNNNNNNNNNNNNNNNNNNNNNNNNNNNNNNNNNNNNNNNNNNNNNNNNNNNNNNNNNNNNNNNNNNNNNNNNNNNNNNNNNNNNNNNNNNNNNNNNNNNNNNNNNNNNCGGCUCUAUAAAAAAUAAUUAGAGGAAGAAGAAAAAAAAGGGUAUCUUCUUCUCCUCUCUUUUUUCCUUCUUCUAUUUUUUCUUCUUCUCCCCUAUUCCUUCUUCUUAUCCUCUUUUUUUUUUCUUCCUCUUCUUAGUUUUUAUCGGGAAUGAGGGUUUCGAGGAUCGCCGAGCGGUCGAGUGUCGGGAACUAGGGUAGAGGGUCGAGGGUCGCCGAGGGGUCGAGGGUCGUCGAGGGUCGAGGGUCGAGGUUCGACGAGGGGUAGAGAGGGGGACAUCGAUCACCCCCUCUCACUCGACCAACUCUCGAGGACACCCAAACCCUAGAAAACAAACGUUGUCCGUCUCCUACCCCCUCUCGCCCGACCAAACCCUAGAAGCGUUGUCGAGGCCACCCCAAACCAUAGAAGCGUCGAGCUAGCUAGGUCUAUGUUUGCCACUAAUAUAUCAAUUUGUCAUAUUUGUAUAUUAAUUGCCAUGUUGUAAUAUUUGCAGAAACUAUGGAGCACCAAGACUUGGAAACAGAACAAAUGUUGGGGGACAUAAUCCUCGGCGGAGGUGAUGUCAUGUCAUAUCUCAACGACACCGAUGGUCUGGAAGGAGAGGAUGAAGGCUCCAGUGAUCGAACAAUGGAGGAUGAAGGACAUAAUCAUGAUGUCCGUGAUGACAGCUCGGUGAUCGAACGGAGGAGGGAGGUGUUGCAAAGUCCGGCGAGGUAUAUAUAUUAAUUAAGCCUGUGCUAACUAGCUAAUUGAUGUAUUAAUUGUUUUGGUAUGUACAUAUAUUAACCCUUCUUUCUUCUUUUAUAGCCCUCCGGAUCGAGCCAAACUUCGGUAACGAGACGAGGCCCGAAGAAAAGGUUGUGCCAGAAUGAAAGGUUCACGAUCACAGCAAACGCGAACGAUGGCCAACCGAUUGAACCCAGGCGGACCAAGGAAGCAUUUUCUGCUCAGUGCGGGGCUAUUGUUAGGGACAUGAUCCCGAUCAGCAUCCAGCUAUGGAAUCAACCUAAGAACGUAGACCCUCAAGUUCCUUAUGUCAACGAUAGACAGAAAGAUGAUCUUUGGACAGCGCUAAAGGCAAAUUUCACCCUACCUCCAGAGGAGGAUCCGGAUAAGCCAGUUAUAGAGCCAUUGGUCAAGGCUCAUGCUCUUAAGAAGAUGGCAGAUCUAUUCAGGAGGUGGAAGAAUGAGUUGAAAUCAACGUAUGUCGACAAAGGGAAGACUCCAGAAUUCACCGGCCGAUUUGAGAAGAUAAGAGAUCACUGGCCCGCAUUUGUGGCCUACAAGACAUCGAACAGGACUAAGAAGAUGUUAGAGACAAACAAGAACAAUACUGCAAAGAAGAAGUUUCACCAUAGGACGGGGUCAGGUGGCUACCUAAAAGCCCGGCCGUUGUGGGACAAGGCUGAGCAAGACCUGCUUGCUAAAGGGGUCGAACCAGAGACAUUGAACUGGCCAUACCGUUCAAGGACUUGGUUCUUCGGGGUUGGGGGAACCUUGGACCCUAAAACAGGGAAGUGCAUUUGGACGGACGAGCAACUUGGAACACCCGUCAAGAAGCUUCAGAAGUGUAUCGCCGCAGCGCAGAAAGGGACGUUCGUUCCCGACAGAGAGAAUGAGAGCUCACCGAGGCCCUCGGGAAUCCUAAGCACCCUGGACGAACACGAGGCACGUCAGGCUCUGUCGCGUGGAAGGUUGGGUUUCCCGGUGCAGGCGAUUACAAAACCCGGGAGAGGAAGAGGAAACCGGAGCAGACUGAAGUGCAGAAGCUGAAUGCAAGGGUACGAAAGCUAGAGGAACAAGUUGAGAUCCAGCGAGGUGCCGGAGCUACCCCAGAAGCUACCCCGCCAUCUCAGCGGAGAAGCAGCAUGGCUUCCACCGAGCUCGUUCAGCAGCCUGACUUCACGGCUCCUAGUUACCCAGUGGAUGCUAUCACGGAGGCUCAACAUUGCCAGCUUAUGACGCAGUGGCAGCACCUCAAAGUCAAGGCGGUUGUCGGCUCUGUUGCACCUCCUCAACCCGACGCAACUUUUCACUGUCGUCCGAUUCCACAAGGCUAUGCUGUUGUGAUGGUGGAUGAAGUAACUGAGGGAUUUGAGGAGCUCGAGCUUGACCACCCUACAGGUGAAGGGGAUACUCAGUUGGGUCUUGCUUUGAAGACUCCAUGUCUAUGGCGGAAGGAGCACAUCAACCUUCCGAACUCGAUGCCUCCGCCUCCUCCUCCUCCUCCUCCGGCGAGUCAGGGCACUCCGCCGCUCCGCCUGCUCCGGCGCAUCGGAGCACUUCGCCUCCUUCUACUACUCGUCAGCAGCAAGUGAAGGACUUUUUUGAAACGCGAAGAGCUAUGAAACAUCCACCUCUGAAGGAGACGAUAGAUCCGGUGAAAGCGAAGCGCACUAUCGAUGCCCUGAAGCGAUCACCACCGUCUCCGCAAACCAACUAUGAGCGCAUUAUUGAAAGGACAUAUAAGGAAGCGGAGCGGUCGGGAAGUACUUGCAGUGAUCGAAGGUUAGCAGAAUGAAGAAGUGGGGAAAAAAUCCCCAGCUCGGCGAACAAGCGAACCAAUCGUGCCUCCCGCUCAAGGUGUCUAGCGAUAUCGUCGCUAAUAAUCCGGGAAUGGUGUCCGGUACUUACCUGCCCGACGAUGCACAUUUUGAUACAAUGGAGGUGGACGAAUUCAAAUACCGGCACUCCGCCUCCUUCUCCGCCUGCUCCGGCGCGUUCGAGCAGCCCGCCUCCUCCUUCGCCUCGUCAGCAACGGCGGAAGACAGAAGCCGCCGCUCCGCCUGCUCCGGCGCAUCGGAGCACUCCGCCUCCUUCUACUACUCGUCAGCAGCAACGGAAGAGAGACGCCGCCGCUCCGGCUGCUUCAGCGUCUAGCAGUACAGCCAGAGGCGGGAGGCAAUACAGAUUCGGUCCAUCUGUCAAGCCUCUAGAGAAGUUACCAUACGAGAUGACCGAGGAGGAAAACGCGAAGAUUUGUAAAGCCCAAGUGAAGGACUUUUUUGAAACGCGAAGAGCUAUGAAACAUCCACCUCUGAAGGAGACGAUAGAUCCGGUGAAAGCGAAGCGCACUAUCGACGCCCUGAAGCAACCACCACCGUCUCCGCCGCAAACCAACUAUGAGCGCAUUAUUGAAAGGACAUAUAAGGAAGCGGAGUUUUCAGGAAGUACUUGCAGUGAUCGAAGGUUAGCAGAAUGAAGGAGUGGGGAAAAAAUCCCCAGCUCGGCGAAAAAGCGAACCAAUCAUGCCUCCCGCUCAAGGUGUCUAGCGAUAUCGUCGCUAAUAAUCCGGGGAUGGUGUCCGGUACUUACCUGCCCGACGAUGCACAUUUUAAUACAAUGGAGGUGGACGAAUUCAAAUACCGAUACGGGAAACCUCUCGUCAAACCUAGUCAUCCUCCUCUAACAACGAUGAUGCGAAGAUUCCAUGAGUGGUACAUGGACACCUGUAGCGAGUCUGGGAAGGAUACUUUGAUGCUGAGAGUUAAAGAGGAGCACGACCUCGUUGGAAUUUAUCUGUUGUCUGUUUCAUUUGAGGAGUUCUUCCAGUUUUACAAUCAAAAGGCCCUCGAUAAAAUAAUCGACACUUGCUACCGUCUAUAAGUACUACUUCUGUAAUUAAGUCUCUAUAUAUAGGUCAGCUCUUUCAUUGCAUGUAUAUAUAAUUAUCCUCACUAUAUUAUGCAGAUUGAAGAUCGUCGAAUGCAGAAAAGCACAAAUCUAUUAUAUUGGGUUCAUUAACACAAAUCUCAUAGAUGAAUGGAUGGUUAAAUAUAAAGCCACGGAAACCGAGGCCAACUUGCUACAAUCGUUGCUUCAAAAUCAAAACAAAGAGAAAAUACUCGUUCCUUACAACUUCAAGUGAGUGUUGCUAUCUUGUGCAUAUUCGGUUUCCCUUAUUACUCGAGGUUAUAGUAAUGUAAUUGAUGAGUUAUGCAUGCGUGCACAGCUUCCACUUUAUUCUGCUAGAGAUUAAGCUUGAGUUGGGAGUAGUACCUGUCUUAGACUCAAGACGAAAAGAUCCCCAGGAGUAUGCGAACAUGACUGAAAUGCUCCAGAAGUAAGUUCAAUCGAUCAUUAUUGCACCAUAUCGGCAACUUUGUUCAUUUCCUGAUAUCAAAUAAUUAUUUUCUUUGUCUCGCAGGGUUUGGAAAGAGUUUACCGCAAAAGCUCCGGGACUGCCGGGGGAGCUGCGAUUUACACACCCGAAAGUAAGUGCUACUAGCUAGUUCCGCGCAUCUCUCAUUGAUUCUAGCUAGUUUCAUCAAUACCAUUUAUAAUGAUUGAUUAUCAGUUUGAUUGACCUCUAUUUCUCGUAAAGUGCUUGUGGCAGGAAUCCGAGAAUGAUUAUUGUGGAUACUACGUUUGCGAGUUCAUCUACAACGCGACGACCUCUAAGCGGGGCUACUCUAAAAAAUAAUACGAAGUGCGUAAGCAAUAAUAUUCACAAUUUUAUUUUAUUACCAUCAUUUGUGUUGAGUUCAUUCAUAUAUAUGUAUUGACCCCCUUCUUCAAAUUAGAUGUGGCAGAUGCGGGAUGAACUCCUACCACAAGAUCGCAUGAAAGCAAAUCAAGAGAAAUUGGCGGGAUUCUUUUUUGACCACGUCAUCAAUAAAGCCAGAGAAUAUCAUGUGUAAUUUGACAUUAGAUGUUAGGGAAUUGUAAGAGAUCUUAUAUUGUAUAUAUGUAGCCAGUAGCGUCGGAUAGAUAUACGAAAACUUGUUGUUCGACCAAUCUCUUGGAGAAGGAGAGGUCGAUCACUUCUCUCUGUAUAUGUUCAUGACGAUCUUGUGUACUUGAUGGUUUCCUUCAUUUGCUUACUAUCUAGUGUGUCGAGUCCUCUCUAUACGUAUAGUACGUAGCGUCGACCAAGCACGGAGAUAAGAGAAGACACUUCUCUCUAUUAGCUAGGUAACACAAUAUAUGAAACCCCUAAAUUAACCCUACAAAACCCUCAAAANNNNNNNNNNNNNNNNNNNNNNNNNNNNNNNNNNNNNNNNNNNNNNNNNNNNNNNNNNNNNNNNNNNNNNNNNNNNNNNNNNNNNNNNNNNNNNNNNNNNNNNNNNNNNNNNNNNNNNNNNNNNNNNNNNNNNNNNNNNNNNNNNNNNNNNNNNNNNNNNNNNNNNNNNNNNNNNNNNNNNNNNNNNNGGUGCUACCAACCAGGACAAAAGGCCCUCCUGCCUGGGCAAGCCGCAGCGGCCACGUGGAGCCCCAUCUGUCCCGGUUCGUAGGCGAACCGGGACUAAAGGUAUUGGGCUUCAGUCCCGGUUCCAGAACCGGGACAAAUGGGCCUAUAGAACCGGGGCAAAUGGGCCUUUUUUUACUAGUGUCGGCUAAGGCCCUACUCAAGGCUGAUGGACCUUUUGUGAUACUCCGGAUUUCUACAUUCGAAGUUCAUGAUCUGGAUUAUUCAGCUGCAUGUAUGUGAGGCCAUAAAUAAAGAUGUUGAAAAGAUCCGUUUCAAUCGGUUGAGUGGAUCAUAUAUGAUUAAUUUGCACGCACAAUCUUAACUAUAUUUUGACUUCCGUAGAGCCCGUUUCAAAGCCUGUGCCCGUAACCAGAUUUGAUUUUCAAGUUGUGAUCUAACAGGGGCAAAAGAAUGACAAUCAUCUGAAUAAUUUACUGCAUGUGUAUUACUAUAUUGUCUGCUGAAUAAUAUCAUAAAUAGAGAUAGGUUAUCUCAUCAACAUACUUAGCCUAGAAACAUGCAUUCACAAGAAGGUGCUUACAAGCACCUGGACGGAGCUGGUGGUUGAGCAUACGUCGGGCUGGGUAUCUUUGGGCACAUUUCUUUGACUUUCCUGGGCUCCGUUCCUAUGUCAAGGGUUAGUCCCAAGAACUAGUGCACAAAAGCCCCAUUCGGUGCAUGAAAAGCAACUGUUUCAUCCAUCCGGGAGGAACAAAAGAAACAUGGAAAAUUCUUUCGUACAGUUGAGUUAGCUGACCGGUCAAGAGGUCUGCAGAAGGAAGAACACAACAAACUGAAAAGCAUUUGGCUAGCAAAACCAAGCUGCUAGCAACUGGUGGAAUCCUCAAGGGAGGGAGGGAGGGAGGGAGGGAUUGAGUCAGACAGCUCAAGUUAUGCACCACAAAUGUAUGGUCGUCAACAGGCACACAUAGACGUUGAUAGAAGGGCUCAUUGUCUGCUGAUGUGUACGAACAUGCAUCUCAUGUCUGUAGGGGUGAGUGAUCUGCCCACUCGAUCUAAGUUUGAGCCAACACAUGCGGGAAAAAGCCCACAAAAAUAUCACGUUGCGCCAAGAUCGUGGGUGCUUGUGUGCCGCGGGUUGGUACAUCAAGGCACGAGCUGGUACAUAAAAGGCAGAGAUUCCUCAGUCCUCACGGUGUUGCCCACCAGUCCACGACAACUCUGUUUUCAGCUACACCUUUUUCUUCAUCUUUCUUACAGGGAUCACCGACUACUAUAGAUCUCUUGACUCGUCUUCCACACGAAAGAAAAGAAAAAAAAUGAUCACACGAAAGAUCACUCGUCUUCCACAGGGACCAGGAGGCCGAAUUAUGAUUCGACAACACGAAAGGAAAAAAAAAAAACAGCCGUCGGAGUUACUGCUGGUGAGAGAGGCUAUGGAUCCUCCUAAAGAAAACUCUGUUUUCAGCUACAGUUUCUUCUUCUGUUUAUUUCUUUUACCGCGAUCACCGACAGCCACAGAUCUCUCCACACAGGCCACGAGGCUGAAUGAUGGACCGACCACAAGAAAGCAAAACUGGAAAAGAAAAGAGAGAGAAAAAAGGGCCAGAACUUGAGCUAAGUCGGCAGCGCUCGCCAUUUUGUUUACUGUCAGCCGCUGGUGGAUCCUGUCGGUGCGCCGACGAGGUCAAUUAAUCUUGAAAACCAUGCCGGUGAUCUUAAGUCUGCAUGAGUAGUACGGAGAGACUAUAUAAUUUACAAAAUUUCAAGUACGCGUAACGGCGUAAGCUAGCUCCCUGCAGUGUCAACGCAUGGGGAUCACGCGAGGUGAACGGAGGCCCGGACAUUGACCCGGCACCCGGCCGUCGGUCAGGUUCAGGCAUGCCUCCUGCCCGGAUCCACGGCCAGCUCAAAGAUACUCAGAUUUGUAUACUGCACUAGUAGCAGUAGCACUGAGAUUGAUGCUUCGAGUUACGAUUGCCCGAGCGCAACGUCGGUCCGUCGUCGUUGAUGAGAGGAGAUGGGAUCUGGAUCCAUUGUGCAUAAAUAACGCAUCCAUAGUUUCGAUUCUCUUUUUUUUAAAUGUGUACUAGCAAAAGGGCCCGUGCGUUGCAACGGGAGUUUUUCUCUUUCAUAAUCUUCAAUGGCCAUGACCACAUUUUGUUGCAUCAUCGAGAUAUACUAUUACUUUCAGUUUCGUGAAAUCAUGAACAAAUUUUAAAACUCGUGGACAUAUUUGAAAUCAUGAACAUUUUUUAAAUUUGUGAACACUUUUACAAAUUGUUGAACAUUUUCUAAAGCAACAACUUUUUUGAAUUCAUUAACAUUUUAUACUAUUUGCAAACAUUUUUAGAAAUUGCAAACAUUUUUUAUUUUCUUUUUUUAUUUUAUGUGCAAUUGGACGAACCAAACGACGGAUCAAAAUCUGGUAAUAAGAAACGUCCGCGCCUUUAACAGAAAAAGAAAAGUACUAAUUAAGGGUGUAACAUAAAAAUAAUUAACAUGCAAGAUAACAUUAUAUUUAGAAUCUGCAAAUUUUUCUGGGCAAUUUUCUGUAUAUAGCAUGCUAAAUUUAGAGUUAGGGUUUGAAAGUUAUGAAUAUUUUAGUCAGUAGGUUGGUUUCUUUGCUUGUGUUGUGCAAGGGCAUUUCCGUAGAUGAACCAAACGCUAUCGGCGGCGACUUAAGAAAAAGAAAGAAUUGUUUUCCCACUUACGGGUGGCACUGGUGGAUAAUUUUUACCAACUUGGAGGGUAAUUUUAAUGAGGAGCGACCAGAAGCGAUACCGCUUUAUUAGUACGUAAAGAUACUAAGCUGACUCAAGAACGCUGUUCAGUGAGAAGUGCAUUCUGCAUUGUUUCACUUUCACCCAGGGUGUGCUGCUUCCAAAAAAAGUUGCAAGUCUAAAAGCAGAAUUCCACUUUUUGGAUUAUUGACUUAAAUAUAUUGAAAAUUGUCAGGACCGGAAUGGGCCGAGUCGACUCAUCGGGNNNNNNNNNNNNNNNNNNNNNNNNNNNNNNNNNNNNNNNNNNNNNNNNNNNNNNNNNNNNNNNNNNNNNNNNNNNNNNNNNNNNNNNNNNNNNNNNNNNNNNNNNNNNNNNNNNNNNNNNNNNNNNNNNNNNNNNNNNNNNNNNNNNNNNNNNNNNNNNNNNNNNNNNNNNNNNNNNNNNNNNNNNNNNNNNNNNNNNNNNNNNNNNNNNNNNNNNNNNNNNNNNNNNNNNNNNNNNNNNNNNNNNNNNNNNNNNNNNNNNNNNNNNNNNNNNNNNNNNNNNNNNNNNNNNNNNNNNNNNNNNNNNNNNNCACACACACACACAAAAAUGAUAAGUCCCCCUCAAGUAAAAGCAACAAAAAUUGUAGAAAAAUGUACAAUGGUGCAACAAGCUCUUAUGGGCUUAGCAUCGAUGGGUGGGGGAUUACAUGUAGUGGCCCACAAAAUAUACCAAAAAAGAGAGGUUGGCGGUGAUGACAACACUCAAAAUCAACCGAACGGGCGACAACAACUGCUGAAAUAGGAGAAGGAGAGCUAUAUAGUGACACCAGGAAAUGCCAGCUGGCGACCAUUCAAGCGUCGGAUGAGGACAUCGAAUGGCACACUCGUAUUCUUUACCGAUCGCCGCUCAGCUAGCUCAAACCACGCCUAGUUCAAAGCUUUAGCAUCGUCGAAUUCCAUUUCUAUCUUCAUCGCAAAAAAAAAUUCGUAAUUCUUUUCACCUCAACGUCAUGACAAUGAAAUUCAGCAGCACUUGACAUUUCAAAGUUGGCCCAAUAAAUACUUUUGGAAAUAAAAAUAGUACAAGUGUCAAUUUCUAUAGAGUGUCCAAAUUUUUCCAUAUUUUUUCCAGGCAGGACAAGCUGACCCAGACCCAAGUCUCCGGGCCUACAAGUACUCCUGGGCCCCAUCGCCUCCUUCCUCCACCAAAUCGCCGUCCCCUUCCCCCAAAUCACAUCCCACUCCCAUCAGAUCUCGCAAGGAAGAAAAGAAUGGCCGACUCCUCCGCGCCGCACUCCAACGGCGGCGCCGUCGCCGAGGAGGAGGACCCCGCGGUGCCCCGGUCCCUGGCGCCGCCGCGGAGGGUGGCGCUGGUGACGGGCAUCACGGGGCAGGACGGGAGCUACCUGACGGAGCUGCUCCUGUCCAAGGGGUACGAGGUGCACGGCCUCAUCCGCCGCUCCUCCAACUUCAACACGCAGCGGCUGGACCACAUCUACCACGACCCGCACGCCACCCCCUCCGCCGCGCGCCCGCCGAUGCGGCUCCACUACGCCGACCUCUCCGACUCGUCCUCCCUCCGCCGCGCGCUCGACCACGUGCUCCCCGACGAGGUCUACAACCUGGCCGCCCAGUCCCACGUCGCCGUCUCCUUCGAGGUGCCCGACUACACCGCCGACGUCACCGCCACCGGCGCGCUCCGCCUGCUCGAGGCCGUCCGCCUCUCCGCCAGGGCCAAGCCCAUGCGCUACUACCAGGCCGGGUCCUCGGAGAUGUUCGGCUCCACGCCGCCGCCGCAGAGCGAGGCCACGCCCUUCCACCCGCGCUCCCCCUACGCCGCCGCCAAGGUCGCCGCGCACUGGUACACCGUCAACUACCGCGAGGCGUACGGCCUCUUCGCCUGCAACGGCGUGCUCUUCAACCACGAGUCCCCCCGGCGCGGCGAGAACUUCGUCACCCGCAAGAUCACCCGCGCCAUCGGCCGCAUCAAGGUGGGGCUCCAGACCAAGGUCUUCCUCGGCAACCUCUCCGCCGCCAGGGACUGGGGCUUCGCCGGGGACUACGUGGAGGCCAUGUGGCUCAUGCUCCAGCAGGACAAGCCUGACGACUAUGUCGUCGCCACCGAGGAGUGCCACACCGUGGAGGAGUUCUUGCAGGCCGCUUUUGGGUACGCCGGCCUCAACUGGAAGGAUCAUGUGGUGAUUGACAAGAAGUACUUUCGGCCUUCGGAGGUGGACUGCCUUCAGGGGGAUUCAUCCAAGUCGAGGAGAGUGCUUGGGUGGAAGCCCAAGGUUGGCUUCCAGCAGCUGGUUGAGAUGAUGGUUGAUAACGACAUCGAGCUCGCCAAGAAGGAGAAGGUCCUUGUGGAUGCUGGGUACCGCGACCCCAAGCAGCAGCCAUAGAAUUGGUAUCAAUAGUUCGAUUAAAAUGGAGCUUGCUUUGGAUUUCCCCCCUUACAAGCUGAUACAGUGUGGCCAUUGCAGUAGAGGUUGGCUUAAGUUCUUGUUGUUUGUCUCAGGGUAGAAAUAAGGAAGUUUGCAGUUUGAUCCUACAGUACCGUUGAUUAAGUUACUAUGUGGCGUACUUUUAUCAUAUGAACGAAUCGGUCAAUUGAUACCAUACCAUUUUGAAGCAAACUCGUCUGUUUUCGAUUAUGACAGCAAACUUGUCUUUCUGUACUGUGUGAUACAUUCUGAAUAUAUGUUAUCUUGGUAUCCAUCAGUGGCAUUUUGCAUGACCCAUCUUGGCACAUUGCAAUGGGGAUAUUUAAACCAGUACAGUUCUAAAUUGCAGUUAACCCACAGUUGAAAUGGUGAAUAUGUUAGCCCAUAUUUCUCAUACGUGAAGAGCAUGAGUUGAACUAUAGUCCUCUGAUUAAAUGAAUAAAAUGAGUGUUGACCUGAAGCUUUUGCUUGUUCAUUCGUAUGAUUCAUCAAGGUGUCCAGUGAACUGCCCAUUAUUCUUGCCUAUUUGCUUUUCAGGUAUUAGGCAUUUUGUACUGAAGCAAACUUGUCUGUUUUCGAUUAUGAUAGCAAACUUGUCUUUCUGUAUUGUGUGAUACAUUCUGAAUAUAUGUUAUCUUGGUAUCCAUCAGUAACAUUUUGCAUUACCAUCUUGGCACAUUGCAAUGGGGGUAUUUAAAUCAGUACAGUUCAAAAUUGUAGUUGGUGGAUAUGUUGGCCCAUGUUUCUCAUACGUGAGGAGAGUGAGUUGAACUACAGUCCUACAGUUAAAUGAAUGAAAUGAGAGUCUUGGCCUGUGUUGGCCUGAAGCUUUCGCUUGUUCAUUUGUACGAUCCAUCAAGGUGUCCAGUCAACUGUCCAUUCUUCUUGCCUAUUUACGUUUCAGGUAUCAGGCAUUUUGUCCUGAGUAUAAUGAGGUCACUAUCCUUGAGUUAAACAAUUGACAUCAUAUAUGAUGUGACGCAAUGCCCAGUGUGUAUCUGGGCCAUCUGGCAAAGACAAGAGAUACCCUACAUGAUUCACGCAAAAUAGGCUUCAGGACAAGCAUUGUAAGUAUUGUAUUAGCUUCUGUUUGUUUGCUACGUUUGACAAGUUGCUGGCAGAAGGGAUGGUAUAUCUAUCUUCAGGCUUCAGCAGCCAAAAGUAUAUAUAUAGUCUAAAAUUCUACUCUGAUUAGCUUUGGGUGCUGAGACAAUGAUAUUAAAUUAUUUCACUUCAGGCGAUCCUUUUGUAAGUGUGGUGCUCAAUGACUUGUAACCUGCACCAUGAAUUCAUAUGCAGUGUAAUUCAAAGCUGUUUAACCUUCUCAUGGGUGCUGACUUGCCGAGUUGAUAAAUUUCAGUUUCAUAUGAACCUGGAGAGAAAACAUUGCUUGCUGGUCCGAGUCAUUCAUGUAGGAUGUGCUUAGAAUAUUUUAGAUGAACAUUGGAUAAGCAGAACAAUGGUAGUCCUUCAGCUGAUUUUAUUUUUUGAAAUUCUUAUGCAAAAAUAUAUACUUACAGUGCAGAGCAUUUUUACAACAUAUUUGCUACUAGUCCAAACUCCAAAGGCCAAUUGAGACAAUAUCCUUGAAAUGCCUUCUCUAAUUCCUCUUAAAUCUAGCAUGUGAGCCUUCUCCAAUUCCCCUUAAAUCUAGCAUAUGAGCCUUCUCUAAGCCUUUUAGUCGCUAACUGACAUAUGGAGCGAGGAAUAUACACUUUUAGCAAAUGAAUGAAUGAAUCACUGUCAUUUUGGAGGAAACACAUCUGCCUCUGAUACUUAUCUUUCUGUAUUGUGGGUCCGUACAAUCUGAAUAUAUAUCUUCAGUUGGUAUCUUGACAUCCAUCUGUAGCAUUUGACAGUACCAUGUUGGAGCAUUGCAAACAGGUGGCUAAAUACAUUACUAUGAUGGUGAAUUUCUUGGUCCAAAUCUCUUGUAUAUGAAGAGCAUGAGUGGACCUUUAGUUCAGCAAGUCUGAACAUCCUGAACUCUUGGUCACAAGCUCUCAUCUGUUCAUGUGCAUGACUGAUCAAGGCAAGUGUUGUCCAUGGAACUGGAUACAUUCUUCUUGCCUAUUUGCUUUUCAUGUAUUUGACAUUUGGUCUUGGGUAUAAUGGCCACUGUAUUUCUGAAAUAUGAAAUUAACACCUUAUACAUCCAACGCAAAGUCUUUCUUCUUGCCUAUUUGCUUUUCAUGUAUUUGACAUUUGGUCUUGGGUAUAAUGGCCACUGUAUUUCUGAAAUAUGAAGUUAACACCUUAUACAUCCAACGCAAAGUCUAAUUUUGCGCCAACAAAAUGGACUUCGUGACAAGCAGUGUGAGGAUUCUAUUGCCCUCUGUUUGUUUCCUGUGCCAACAAAAUCUGAAUAGAGUUUCAAUGUGCUGUGAACGAAAACGGAAGACAAUGAUCUUAAAUUGUUUGGUUGCUCUGUAGAUACAGUGUUCAGUGAUCUGCAUCCCGCACUGUAAAUUCAUAUGUAAUGUAGUCCUAUGAACAUCCUGCAGAGGAAACAAUCUUCUUAGUUCUUUCAUAUAUGAUGUGCUUACAUUUUUGUUUCAGAUGAACAUUGGAGAUGCUACUGCCCCAGACUAUAUGCUGGAUACAGACAGUAUUGCAGCAAAACAAUCGUUUGGAGUUGAAAGUUAACCUUAGAACCGACACAAGGAAUCCUAAACGCAUUUGCCAGUGACCGAGAGGACAUUUUUUACCCUUCCCGGCGACCUCCUGACACUUGCCAAUUAACGAUGAAAGUGGGUCCGUUUGCGGCCAACAUCAUAGUACAUGUUUAGUGUUAAUUUUUACAAGCAGACGUGAACUAAUUUGCUAAGAUUCGCAGAAUAAGCGGGCGACACGUGAGCCUAGGCACGGUGGUAGAGAAGGGUGUCUUCUGUUCUAACUCGAAUUCUGCAGUGAAGAUUAAGAUAACCAUUUUUCCGCGAGCUGUUCAAACCACAGUGUGAGUGAGUAAUGAUGCAGAAUCAAAGGACUCACGACACAAAAUCAAAACGAGGUAUUAGUUUGUGUACUUUUGCACAGAUCACACUGGUUGAUUGUAUCAUUGGAAGGAUGGUAUCUAUCUUCAGGCUUCAGCAGACAAUAGCAGUCUAAAAUGAUACUCUGAUCAUCUUUGGGAGCUGAGACAUUGAUCUUAAAUUAUUCCACUGCAGGCAAUCCUUCAUCUGUAAGUAUUCCACUGCAGGCAAUCCUUCAUCUGUAAGUAUUCCACUGCAGGCAAUCCUUCGUCUGUAAGUAUGGUGCUCAAUGACUUGUAAUUUAUCCUGCACCAUAAAUUCUUAUGCAGUGCAAAUCAAAGCUGUUUUGACCAUCUCAUGGAUGCUGACUUGCUGAGUUAAUGAAUUUCAGUUUCCUAUGAACCUGGAGAGAAAACAUGUUUGCUGGCCUGAGUAAAUCAUGUACGAUGUGCUUAGCAUUUUUUAGAUGAACAUUGGAUAAGCAAAACAGUGGUAGCCCUUUAGCUGAUUUUCUUUUUGAAAAUUCUUAUUAUGCAAAAAUAUAUGUACCUGUAGUACAGGGGAUUUUUACAACAUAUUUGAUGUUAGUGCAAACUCUGGAGACCAACUGAGACAACAUCCUCAUCUUUUUGGGCAGCUAAAAAUGCCCUCUCUAAUUUCCUUUAAAUCUAUUGUAUUUCUCUAAGCUUUUCAUUCGCAAACUGAGUAACAGACAUAUGGACCGAUGAAUAUGCACUUUUACCAAAUGAAUGAAUGAAUCACUGCCAUUUUGGAGGAAACUCAUGGUAGCAAAUUUAUCUUUCUGCAUUGUGGAUUCAUGCAAUCUGAAUAGAGUAUCUGAAUACAUGUCUUAGGCUGGUAUCUUACAUCUCUCUGUAGUACGUAUGUGACAGUACCAUGUUGGCGCAUUGCAAACACGUGGUUGAAUACAUAACUAUAUUGGCGAAUUUCUUGGACUGUAUUUCUUGUAUAUGAUGAGCAUGAGUUGAACUCUAGUUCAGCGAGACUACGUAAUCUUGAGCUCUUGGCCCUAAGCUCUGAUUUGCUCCUCUUCUUGCCUAUUUGCUUUUCAGGUAAUGGGCAUGUUGUCCUCGGUAUAUAAAGGUCGCCACAUUUCUGAAAUAUGCAACUGGCAUCUUAUACAUGCGACGCAGAGUCAAUGUGCAUCCAAGUUCUAAUUUUGCGCCAACAAAAUGGACUUCAUGACACACUGUGAGGAUUCUAUUUGCACUCUGUUUCUUUGGUGCUUUCAAUAAGUUCCUCCCCUCGUAUGUACUUUCAGGGUCUAGCAGCCAAACUUAUAUUCUAAUUGAACUCUCAUCAUCUUUGUGUGCCAAGACAGCGAUCUUAAAUUGUUUUUGUUGCUGAUGAUCGUCGGUCGUCCGUUGCUCUGUAAAUACGGCGUUGGAUGGUCCGUAUCCCGCGCCGUAAAUUCAUAUCUAAUGCAGUUCUAUGAGAGGAAACAAUCACUGCUUCUGACAGUUUCUUGCAGAGACGACGCGCUUGCAUUUGUCUUAGAUGGACAGUGGAGAUGCUACUACCUCGGACUGUACGCUGGAUACAAUAUCCUGGGGUCAAAGUUAACCUUAAUUAGAACUGACACAAGGAAUCCUAAAAGCAUUUGCCAUUAACCCAGAGGACAUUUUUGCCCCUCCUCGGCGACCUCCUGACACUUGCCAAUUAACUAUGGAAGUGGGGCUGUGUGCUGCCAACAUCAAAGUACAUGUUUAGUGUUCUUUAGGGAAUAUAGUACAUGUUUAGUGUUAACUUUACACACAGAUGUGAACUAAUUUGCUAAGUUUCGCAGGAUAAACGGGCCACAUGUGAGCCUAGGCACGGCACGGCACAGAAAAGUACGGUCCUCUUGCGCCUCUCCGACAUGUAUCACGACGGUGGUAGAGAAGAGAAGGGUGUCUUCUCUUCUAACACUGAUCCCACAACGAAAGUAGAGAUAAUCAUUUUUCCGCGAGCUGUUCAAGAACUACAGUGCGAGUAGCGAUGUAGAAUCAAAAUGACUCACGAAACGAAAUCAAAAUGUGUUACCACCUCUGAUCCGAAUUAACUGUGUCAAUUAAUUUGGAUCGGAGUAUUAUUUUUGUACUUUCACACACAUCGCACAUGGUUGGUUGUAUCCUUGUGGGGAUGGUGUACCUGUCUUCAGGCUUCAGCAGCCAAAAGUAUAGCCUAAAAUUCUACUCUGACCAUCUUUGGAUGCUGAGACAUUGUUCUUAAAUUAUUCCACUGCAGGCAAUCCUUCGUCUGUAAGUAUGGUCCUCAGUGACUCGUAACCUGCACCAUGAAUUCAUAUGCAGUGUAAAUAAAAGCUGUUUUGACCAUCUCAUGGAUGCUGACUUGCUGAGUUAAUAAAUUUCAGUUUCCUAUGAACCUGGGGAGAAAACAUUGCUUGCUGGCCUGAGUCAUUCAUGUGCAAUGUGCUUAGGAAUUUUUAGCUGACCAUUGGAUAAGCAAAACAAUGCAUAUAUAUAUACUUGUUGUACAGGGUAUUGUACAACAUACUCCCUCCGUUCCAAAAUAGAUGACCCAACUUUGUAUUAACUUUUGGGUCAUCUAUUUUGGAACGGAGGGAGUACGUAUUUGCUAUUAGUCCAAACUCCAAAGGCCAACUGAGACAAUAUGUGUAACUUUUUGGCUAGCUAAAACUGCCUUCUCUAGUCCCACUUAAAUCUAGCAUAUCACUAGCCUUCUGUAAGCCUUUAAUUUGCUAACUGAUAUAUGGACCCAGUCUUUUGCGACACUUCUGGUCUACUUAUUUUGCUAGGUCUCGACUUCUCUGUUGAAUAUGCACUUCUAUCAAAUGAAUGAGCGAAUCGAUGCCAUUUUGGAGGGAGCUCGUUAUGAUUGCAAACUUAUCUUUCUGUAUCAUGGAUCCAUACAAUCUGAAUAUAUGUCUUCAGAUAGCCUAAAAAAAAAAGAAGUCUUCAGCUGGCAUCUUGACAUCCAUCUGUAGCAUUUGACAGUACCAUGUUUGGCGCAUUGCAAACAAGGGGUUAAAUACAUAGCUAUGCUGAUGAAUUUCUUGGUCCGGAUUUCUCGUACAUGAAGAGCAUGAGUUGAACUCUAGUUCAGCAAGACUGAAAAUCUCGAGCUCUUGACUGCAAGCUCUCAUUUGUUCAUUUGCAUUUUUGACCAAAAUUAAGUGUUGCCCACUGAAUCUGACUAAUAAAUUUCAGUUUCCUAUGAGUAAAUUGUUGCUGAAAGUAAUAAGGCGCCAAUUUCAUCCUAUGAAUAAAUUUAUUGGGGAGAGGGGAGUCGUUGGAGCUGAUUUAUUUUUUUGGCCCAACUCCUCCACUACCAGGAGUUUAUUGGGGAAAGUGGAGUUGUUGGAGAUGCUGCAAGUGUCGUCCACUGAACUGUCUACAUUGCUCUUGCCUAUUUUAUUGUCAGGUAUUGGGCAUCUCUGAAAUAUGUGUUGGGUCGAAGUUAACCUUGUUGCGGAGAGGACAAUUUUUGCCCCUUCCCCGGACCCCGGCGACCUACGCUUGUACUGUAACACUGAUCCCGCGAUGAAGCUGAAGAUACAUUUUUACCACAGGCUGUUCACGAACCACAGUGCGAGAAAUGACGGGAAAUUGAUGAUACAGAAUCAAAAGGACUCGCGACACAAUAUCAAUGUGACUUGUUAUUAUUUUUGUACUCCCUAAUAAGUGUUGCGGUUUUGGUUCGAGUACUUGGUUGGUCUGGUUGGUUGUUCCCUGUGACGAAAGCCUUAAUUCUCCCAUGAGUUAAUAUAAACCAGGAGAGCCACAUGUUGUUGUUAGAGCAUCUCCAGCCGUUGGCCCCCCAGGAGGCAUAAAAAUCACCGCCUGGGGGCGAGCCGGCGGUAGAAUCCGCGCUGGGGGCGGUUGGGCAUCCAGCCGUCGCCCCAGGCGCCGAUAUCGGCCCAUUUGCGGCCGCAUUUCGGCCCAGAUAAAUAGAAAAAUGGCCCGAUAUCGGCGAGAAACAACCCAUAUUCGGCGUGGUUCGUCGUUUAAUUCUCAACAUAAAUAUUCUUUUUCACAUAAUUUAUCAUAGAAAAUCAAAUAAUUCAACAAAAUAGUGCAACAACAAAUAGUUCAAUACAAAUUAUAUAGUUUAACAAAUAAAAACUCAUCACACGUCGAGCUAUGCGUCGCCCUUGAUCCUUCAUAGGUGCUCCACCAGAUCCUGCUGCAGUUGAUGAUGCACCUGUGGGUCUCGGAUCUCCUGACGCAUACUGAGGUAGGCAGUCCAGGUUGCCGGUAGCCGAUGAUCAACUUUGGCUAGAGGACCCUGCAUGUAGUAUGGUUUAGUGUCAAACACUGGCUCUUCCUGCUCGCUCUCGACGAUCAUGUUGUGCAAGAUGACACAACAAGUCAUGAUCUCCCACAUUUGAUCUUUCGACCAGGUCUGAGCAGGGUACCGGACAACAGCAAAUCGAGAUUGGAGCACACCAAAUGCCCACUCGACAUCCUUCCUGCAAGCCUCCUGCACCUUGGCAAAGUGGGACUUCUUGCCUCCUGGCACAACGUUUGAGAUAGUCUUCACAAAUGUAGACCAUCUCGGAUAGAUGCCAUCAGCUAGGUAGUACCCCUUAUUGUACUGCCGCCCAUUGACCUCGAAGUUCACCGAAGGAGAAUGACCUUCAACAAGCUUGGCAAAGACAGGGGAGCACUGCAGUACGUUGAUGUCAUUGUGAGUUCUUGGCAUACCAAAGAAGGUGUGCCAAAUCCACAGGUCCUGUGUUGCCACCGCCUCAAGUACCACACUGCAACCGCCUUUGGCGCCUUUGUACAUCCCCUGCCAAGCAAAUGAACCGUUCUUCCAUUUCCAAUGCAUGCAGUCGAUGCUUCCAAGCAUCCCAGGAAAUCCUCUUGCUGCAUUCUGUGCUAGGAUCCGAGCAGUGUCUUCCGCAUUGGGUGUUCGCAAGUAUUGCGGUCCAAACACUGCCACCACUGCCCGACAGAACUUGUAGAAACACUCAAUGGUGGUGGACUCGGCCUUGCGCCCAUAGUCGUCGAGUGAAUCACCGGGAGCUCCGUAUGCAAGCAUCCUCAUCGCUGUCGUGCACUUCUGGAUUGAGGUGAAUCUAAGUUUGCCGGUGCAAUCCUUCUUGCAUUUGAAGUAGCUGUCGAACUCCCGGAUGGAAUUCACAAUCCCGAGGAAAAACUUUCGGCUCAUCCGAUAACGGCGCCGAAAUGUUUUGUCGCCGUGCAGUGGAGCGUCGGCGAAGUAGUCGGAGUAUAACAUGCAGUAGCCUUCGAGACGAUGCCGGUUCUUUGCUUUGAUCCGCCCCGGCGCCGAGCCACCUCGCCGCGGCUUUUCAUUGCUCGCCAGCAGGCCGGCGAGGGCAGCGAGGACCAUGAGAUGUUCCUCUUCCUGGACGUCGGCCCCGGCUUCCUCCUCCAGCAGCACGUCGAGCGCUUCCUCGUCGUCCGAGUCCAUUGCCGAGGCAGGCAAAUCGCCGAACACCUUGCGGGCGCGGUGGGCGCGUACCCGCCGCUACACCGCCCCCUUCCGGGCCGGAGACGCCGGAAAAAUUGCCUAGCCGGUGGUGGAGAGGCUGCCUCGGCGAAACCUCUGCUCUUUUUCCGGCCGGGAUGGGCUACUAGCGGUGGCGGGCGGCGCCAGGAUCAGCCGGUUGGCGGCCGAGCGCGCGCGGGGGGGGGGGAGGAAAAUCUGGAAGAAAGACUUGACUUUUCGCCUAACGGUGUGGGCCAGACGUGCAUUUCCCUUGCGCCGGAGUCCCCGAGCGCCCCCAGUGCGCCGGGUUCGGCCUGCAAUCGCCGGGCCCCAAAACGGGCCGAGCCGGCGGAUUUCGGCGUCCUGGGGGCGUGACUAGGGCGUUUUUUCGGCGGCGGCACCGAAAAAGUCACCUGGGGAGCCUGUUGGGGGCGCGGCUGGAGAUGCUCUUACUCUGUCAGAUCUCGGCAAUCCCCAGCAGCGCCCCCAACAGGCCCCCCAGGCGAAUUUUUCCACUCCUUGGGGGGGGGGUGUUGGAAACCCUAGUCCCUUGCUUGCACUCGCUUCACUCUUCCGUCCCGCGGCAAGCCCCAAAUCCACCUCGCUUUUUCCAUUUCCAUCGCCGGCCGGCCGCCACAUCCAUGCCAAUGACCUCGCCUUCGCCUCCCCCCAUGCAGCCCAUAGCAGGCUCUAAGCCCACCUCCUUUCUCUCCCACUCCCACAGCCAGCCGAUCGCCACACCAACGUGAUUGACCUCGCCUUUGCCUACCCCCACCGUCGUGGAAUUGUCAAAGCAAAUGUCCUAGUGUGAGGACUUAGUCGUGAGGCCACCGCAUCUAUGUGGUAGCUUGAGAGGGGUUGAGCGGAAUCGAGAGACGCAACACAAGACAAGGAUUUAGACAGCUUCGGACCCCGGGAAACAUCAUCCGGUAACAACCCUACGUGCUGUUUGUGACUAGGUCUCAUUAUCAUCAUGAGGGAGUCGCCGUAAACCGGCUCUCCUAGUUAUGUCUAGCCCUAAGCUUAUUUUUUCUCUCCCUUUGGGGUGCCCUGCCCCUCUUUAUAUAAGUUGAAGGGGCAGGUUAGAAGUAGAGUCCAACUCGGAUUAAGGCUUAAACUAUUUUGACUUCUCUUCACGGGCUUCUUAACGUUUUGGGCUUCAUAACGUCUUGGGCUUCAUAACGUCUCGGGCUUCAUAACCCCAGGCGACUCUAUCUGCCGGGUUAUGACCGUCAACCAGUUAUCACUGUCUGCCGGUUUAUGACUGUCUGCCGGUUUAUGAUGGUCUGCCGGUUUAUGAUGGUCUGUCGGUUUAUGAUCUGGCUUAACUCCUGCCGGGUUAUCAUCUGACUUAACUCCUGCCGGGUUAUCAUCUGACUUAACUCCUGCCGGUUUACCAAGUACCAGCCGGGUUAUAACUCCGGCCGGGUCAUACCUCGGGGUAUAUCCCCGACACCCACCACCCUAAGCCACCGACCGUCGCCACCCCUCCGCCUCAACAGGACAUCGACGCCCCACCCCUAGACACUGAAUUGUACAUUCUUGUACAUGCAACUCAUGGUCAAUGUGAGGCCAGUUCUAAAAUUUCACUUUUGGAAAAAUAAUUGUAAGGAUUCUAUUGCCCUCUGUUUGCUUGCUGCGGUCAGCAAACUCGCACGCGUAGGUACUUUCAGCUUCAGGAUCCAACAACCGAAAGUGUCAUCGAAAAUCACACCCGGAUCAUCUUUUGAGUGCAGGCAGUAGUCUUACUUUUUUUUUUCUCUGUAUGUAAAUACGGCCUUCACUAAUCCACGCCCAGCACUACAGAAUUCGUGCUGGGAAUUAUGUGUGCUUACUACAUUUGUUUUUGAUGAAACAUCAGAGAUUCUACUACCUCGGAUUGAAGUCUGGACACUGACAGUAUUGCAGCAAAGCAACCGUCGGGAGUUAAAAUCAACCUUACAACUGACACAUGGAAUCCUAAACGCAUUUGACAUCAUUAGCCGAGAGGACAUUUGCCCCUUCCCGAACAUAAGACUAAUAAUCUCUAGUAAAACUAAAGAUAAUCAUCACAUUCCACGGUUGUUCAAGAGCCACAGUGCGAGUGAGUAAUGAUGCAGAAUAGAAAAGGACUCACAUACACCAAAUCAAAAUGAAUUAUUAGCUUUUGACUUUUUCAUACAUCGCACAUGAUAUGGUUGGUUGUAUUGUUUGGUGAAACUUAUUUUUUCCACGUGUAAAUAAACCUAGAGAUCCACUUUCCUCCAUCACUGGUUGUUGUCACUCCGUCGGAUCUCGGAUGUGAGCCAACAAACCCUAUUUCCCUUGCUUGCGCUCACGUCACUCUUUCGUCUCGUGGCAAGCCCCAUAUCCACAUCCUCUCCCUUACUCCCACAGCCGGCCGGCCGCCACACCCACACCAAUGGCCUCGCCUUCGCCAAUCCCCACCUCGCCGCCACCCCUUUGCCUCAACAGGAUGCCGACGCCCCACCACAGGACAUCGAAUCCAUUGAACUGUACAUUCUUGUACACACGACCAAGAGUCAAUGUGAGGCCAGUUCUAAAUUUUCACUUUCAAGAAUGAUGUGUGCUUACUACAGUUGUUUUUGACGAAACAUGACGUAUUCUAGUGCUCCGGACUAAAGACUGGAUACUCAGCCAUUUGGAGUUGAAGUCAAUCUUAGAACUGACACACAUAAUCCUAAGCGCAUUUGACAUUAUUAGUGAGGGAACAUUUNNNNNNNNNNNNNNNNNNNNNNNNNNNNNNNNNNNNNNNNNNNNNNNNNNNNNNNNNNNNNNNNNNNNNNNNNNNNNNNNNNNNNNNNNNNNNNNNNNNNNNNNNNNNNNNNNNNNNNNNNNNNNNNNNNNNNNNNNNNNNNNNNNNNNNNNNNNNNNNNNNNNNNNNNNNNNNNNNNNNNNNNNNNNNNNNNNNNNNNNNNNNNNNNNNNNNNAUGAAGCUAAAGAUAUCACAGUUUCCGUGAGCAGACAUGUAUCCUAUAUGGAACUUAAUUUUGCCAUGAUUUAAUAAACCCGGAGAGCCACUUUCCUCUACCACCGGUUGUUAUUACUCUGUCGGAUCUCCGAUGAGAGCCUGCAAACCCUAGUCCCUUGCUUGCGCCCGCUUCACUCUUUCGCCCCAUGGCAGGCCCCAAAUCCAUCCUCUUCCCUACUUCCACCACCAGCCGACCGCCCCAACCCAUGUAAAUGGCCUCACCUUCGCCUACCCCCACCAGCCCCACGUAGCCGACCGCCACCACCCCUCCGCCUCAACAGGACGCCAAGGCCCCACCCCAAACAUCAGAUCCACUGAAUUGUACAUUCUUGUAAAUGUGAGGCCAAUUCUAUAUUUUUAUCUUUCAGGAAAUGCAUUGUAAGGAUUCUAUUGCCCUCUGUUUGCCUUCUGCGGUCAACAAAUUCGCGUGUAUGUGCCUUAAGCUUCAGAGCUUCAGGGCCUAGCAGCCAAAAGUGUCGUCUAAAAUCUUACUUGGAUCAUCUUUUGGGUCUGACCUUCAGGAUCCGCACCCGCACCGUAAAUUCAUGCUAGGAUGAUGUGUGCUUGCUAUAUCAAAAUAGCUAUGCAGACAACAGAGCACAUAACAAUUCCGGCAAUAUGCAGCUCCAACCCGUAGAGAUUAGGGAAUGGGCCAAAUCUACUGCUGAGGAUGAGUUGUCAUGCACAAAUCGGCUUAAAAUCUACUGGUGGAGAUUCUACUGCCCCGGAACCGAAGAGUGGAUGCUGCAGCAAAGCGGCCAUUUGAAGUUCAAAUCAACCUUAGAACUGAUAAAUGGAAAUCCAAAGCGCAUUUGACAUCAGUAGACGAGAGGUCAUUUGCCCCUUCCCGUGCACAACAGUAAUAAUCUCCAAUGAAAUUAAAUGUAAGCAUCACUUUUCCGUGGGCUGUUUAAGAGGCACACCGCGAGUAAGUAACGAUGGAGAAUCGAAAAAGGACUCACAGACACAAAAUCGAAAUAAGUUAAUAAAUCCUCUGGCGAGCACACAUCACACACAUGGUAUGGUUGAUUGUACUGUACCCUCUAGUGAAACUUAAUUUUUCUAACAUACACCCUUAUAAAUCUGAAAAAAAAAAACAGAAAAACAUGCGCCCUUAUAUUUCUUCACGGAGUAAUAGUAAGGCCAACUCCACCGCGCGACCCUAUCCUGUCCGGCCCCGUCCGUUUGGGGUAAAAUGGACGAAUAGCGUGGCCCAGCGCGCGGCCUCAAACGCACAAAUGUCCGGAUUCCGUCCGUUUUCGACCCAUCCCCGGCCCAAACUUGCGCUCAGUUUGGGGUGAAACGGACGCGCGCGGACGGCCUGGACGCACGCCCUUGUCCCCCCAUGGCCCGCCUGUCGGGGACACUAGCAGUCCCUCCGCUCCCAACGCUUCCACCCUCUCUCUCCUGCCCCGCCCUGCCGCCGGCGCCGCCGCUAUUCUCCGGCCGCCUCCUCACCGCACAGCCUUCGACCGUCCCUACCAAACCACUUCUCGACAUGGCCGCCACCACGCCCGUGCUUUGGCUGUAGUUUUGGUCGUCGAUCAGGUUUGGCCGUCGCCGUCUUUGCCGGCCGUAGAGGCGACAGGACCGCCGGCGACACACCACGGCGGCCUCAGCAGCUUCCGACGAGAGCUCCAGAGCGGCCAGUAGCCGGCCGGCAACCACCCCUGCUGCGUCGAGGUGAUCAUCGCGGCCUCUUCGCCACCACGACCGCAAGGUGUUCGGCAUUUUGCCCACAAAGGUAUGUACAGUGGAGACGAGUUUUUCUUCCAUCACUUCCUUUGUUCAUCGGACGAUUCGUCGUUGGAUGAUGAAGAUCUUGUGGUGGCUGCACUGGUCAUUCAUGACCAUAUUCAACGGCAACUUCCUCGGUACAGGGGGUCAGUCCCUAGCCGUGCUCCCAACCUGAACCGCAACAGGGAGAGAGGCCACGCCCUGCUCUAUGCUGAUUACUUUGCCAACACCCCGCUCUUCAAGACGGAUAAAUUCCGUCGCCGUUUUCGAAUGGCAAGGCAUGUGUUCAAUCGUAUCCGAGAGGGAGUGGUUGCUCAUGACCCAUACUUUGAGUGCAAGACGGAUGCCCUUGGCAAGCUUGGAUUCUCCUCUUACCAAAAAUGCACCGCGGCCAUCCGCAUGCUUGCAUAUGGAAUUCUAGGCGAUCUGGUGGAUGAGUAUGUGCGUAUGAGUGAGACAACAUGUCUGAUGUCAAUGUACAAGUUUUGCCAAGCUGUGAUCGAGGUGUUUGGCCCAGAGUACUUGAGGCAGCCAACUGCCGCUGAUACAGAGAGAUUGUUGGCGACCAACGCAGCUAGAGGCUUUCCAGGCAUGCUUGGCAGCAUAGAUUGUAUGCACUGGGAGUGGAAGAACUGUCCAUUUGCUUGGCAGGGCCAGUACAAGGGGCAUGUCAACGGGUGCACUGUCAUAUUAGAAGCGGUGGCAUCACAGGAUCUUUGGAUAUGACAUUCUUUCUUCGGCAUGGCAGGUUCUCACAAUGAUAUCAGCGUGCUGCAGCGUUCUCCGAUCUUCGCGAGGCUUGCAGAAGGCCACUCCCCACCUGUCAACUUUGAGAUCAACGGCCACCAGUACAACAAGGGAUACUAUCUAGCAGAUGGUAUAUAUCCUCAGUGGUCAACUUUUGUGAAGACAAUCUCGAAACCCCAAGGUGAGAAGAGAAAGAGAUUUGCCCAAAUGUAAGAAAGUGUUAGAAAGGAUUGUAACGUGCUUUUGGUGUGCUUCAAUCCCGGUGGGGUAUCGUUCGAAACCCUGCACUGUCAUGGGAUGAAAGGAAGCUUUGGGAGGUGAUGACUGCUUGUGUGAUCAUGCACAACAUGAUCGUCGAGGACGAGCGUGAUGAGAGUAUCUUCGACCAAGGAUUUGAUUAUCAAGGUGAAAAUAUUGAGCUCCUGCACCAAGACCCGGCCACAUUUGAACAGUUUGCCUAAUUCCACCGUGAGAUGCGUGAUUGACACACUCAUUUGAAUCUUCAAAAUGACUUGGUUGAGCACGUGUGGAUCACAUUGGCAACCAAUAGAUGUAUUGGUUCAUUUUAUGUUCAUUCAAAACAAUUUUGAUUUGGUUGUAAAACUAUUUUAUUAGAGACAAUUUUGAUUGGGUUGUAAAACUAUUUUUAUUUUCAGACAAUUAAUAUUUGGACAUGCAAACUUGUUUUGAUAUGAAAAUAUGAACAUUUUUGGCCCUGGCGGACAGGAUGGGGCAAACGGAUGCGGCCGCGCGCCCUGCGCGCUGGGCGCACGGCCACUGCAUCCCAGAACAGGCCCGGACAUGACCCCAUUGCCCUACCCAAACGGACCGAUUCCGGGCAAAGCGGACGUCCGUUUGAGGUCGCGCGGUGGAGUUGGCCUAAAUCCGGAGUGAUUUCCUCUGCUGUUGUUAUUCUGUCGGAUCUCGGACGAGAGCCUGCAAACCCUAGUCCCGCUCGCUUCACUCUUCUUGCCCGCGGCAGGCCCAAAAUCCAGUUCCCCUCUCCCAUUCCCACCGCCGGCCGGCCGCCACAUCCGCGCCAAUGGCCUCGCCUUCGCCUCCCCCCACGCCGCCCACCGCCGACGAGCCUCCGCCUCCGCCUACUCCUGACGGAGAUGCCCCCUCCCCGCCCACGGACGCCGAAUCCCCCCCGCCGCUCCCGGAGGCCGACGCCCCUGCCGCGCCGCCCCCGGACGCCGACGCCGACGCCCCGCCUCUGCAGCAGCCGCACCUCCCGGACGGCAUCCUGGAGGACAUCUUCCUGCGGCUCACGACGGCAGCAGACGUCGCGCGGGCGUCGGCCGCCUGCGCCUCCUUCCGGGCCAUCACGUCGGCCCUCCCGUUCCGGCGCCGCUUCCGCGCGCUCCACAGGGCCCCGGUGCUCGGCUUCCUCCGGGAGGACUUCUACGCGGCGCGCCCGCCGCACCCAUCCGCCCCGGCCGCGCGCGCCCUCGCGCGGGCAGCCGACUUCGCCUUCUCCUUCCUCCCCGACGACGCCGCGUGCUGGAGCCCCCGGGACGCGCGCGACGGCCGCGUGCUCUUCUCCGCCGUGCCCAGCUCCCACGGCCGCGGCAGCUUCGCCGACGCCACCUCCACCACCUUCGUCGACCUCGUCGUCGCCGACCCGCUCUCCCGCCGCUGCGUCCGCGUCCCGCCCGUGCCCGACGACCUGGCGGCCCCCGUUCUGCGGUGGGGCAUGCUCGACUUCGAGCCCUUCCUCGCGCCGGCCAGCGCCGAGGACCUGCGCGACGAGGGCGCGCCCUUCAGGGUCAUCGGCAAGGUGCUGUGCGAGGACAGGGUCGCCGUGUUCGCCUUCUCCUCGCGCACCGGUGAGUGGCGCAGCCACGGCUCGAGCGAGCUGUCCAACGACUUUGCGCUGGACGCGCUGUAUGAGCGGCGCCACUAUGUGCAGGGCUGCUUCUGCUGGCUGUUGGAGUGGAUGGAGAAGCUGCUCAUGCUCGAUGCUGGUGCGAUGGAGUUCUCCAUCGUGGACCUCCCGCCCGGCAACGACGAGCGGCGGUUCGCCAUUUUGGAGGCAGGGCAAGGCAGGAUUGGGCUGCUAAAUAUUGGGAGGAACACAUUGGACUUGUACUAUAAGGCCUGGCCAGGCAAACGCAAUGGAGAGUGGCAACACGAAACGAAAGAGCACCCACUGCCUGACUAUCACUGGCGCAUCAUAGGUUCUGAUGAGGAGUACUUGCUCCUGAGAGGGAUUUCACUUGAUUGGCCCUGGUUCGGGAGCGCUUCAUCGGAGAGUCCGGAUAUUGAGUAUUUUGCACUGGAGCUCAAGGCAUUGCAACUCGAGAGGAUGUACGUGUCCAAGCACAAAAUGUUGCAUGCUCACCUGUAUAGGGGCUACCCGCCGCAGAUCUCGGCACCAACUCUAUGAACUGGUAAACUUGCUACCAUAUCAUCCUCUUGUUUUCAGCAGUUGGNNNNNNNNNNNNNNNNNNNNNNNNNNNNNNNNNNNNNNNNNNNNNNNNNNNNNNNNNNNNNNNNNNNNNNNNNNNNNNNNNNNNNNNNNNNNNNNNNNNNNNNNNNNNNNNNNNNNNNNNNNNNNNNNNNNNNNNNNNNNNNNNNNNNNNNNNNNNNNNNNNNNNNNNNNNNNNNNNNNNNNNNNNNNNNNNNNNNNNNNNNNNNNNNNNNNNNNNNNNNNNNNNNNNNNNNNNNNNNNNNNNNNNNNNNNNNNNNNNNNNNNNNNNNNNNNNNNNNNNNNNNNNNNNNNNNNNNNNNNNNNNNNNNNNNNNNNNNNNNNNNNNNNNNNNNNNNNNNNNNNNNNNNNNNNNNNNNNNNNNNNNNNNNNNNNNNNNNNNNNNNNNNNNNNNNNNNNNNNNNNNNNNNNNNNNNNNNNNNNNNNNNNNNNNNNNNNNNNNNNNNNNNNNNNNNNNNNNNNNNNNNNNNNNNNNNNNNNNNNNNNNNNNNNNNNNCUUUGAAAGCCAUAUUUGCUAUUCCCUCUGUCCACAAAAUUACAUUGUAUUAGACCAUUAGCCAUGGGCACAAACCACACAAUAACUAUUGGAUAUGCUAAAAGUCAAUUAUCAUCAUUCCUUUCUCUUGCUCCAAAGUUCCCCCGCAUGUUUUCUUUCCAAGGAGGCAAGGUUCGCUUGUUCAUGGGAGUUUUGGGCAUAAUAGGAAAUGUGAAGAAGAAGUGCCUACAAAAUUGUCAACUGAGCAUUGAAGGACAAAAAAAUUUUGAAGUGACCUACAUUUGUUUCCAAGGGAGUAAUUAACUAGCUGUAUGCACUUGUCCUUUUUCUUUUCUUUAGUUCCUACAUGGGCAUUUUCGUGGCUGCAACACACAUAUACAUGCCAAAGAUAUAUCAGGAAAAAUGGUCCUGGUGCCAUUUACAUACUCUGUUUUUUAAUAUAGAGCAGUAGGAGCCUCUCCCGCUGCAACUUCUCAAAAAAGAAGGUUAAUAUUGUUUUUGCAAACAUACAAGACUCUUGUUAAUGAUUCAGUACUGUAUGCCAUCCAUGGUUGAGAAUUGCUAAUUUGCACUAGUGGUUUCAGGUUUACAACAUUGCUAUCACUUUUACAUCGCUGCCAUACAGCAGGUGACAACUAUUAUCUCAUUAACUCUUUUAGUAAAUUUGAUAUGGUAGAUGAAAACAACUUGGUAUUAUUGCUUCACUUAUCCGGUAGUGAGCAAAUGGAGAGAGUUUUAAUUGAUUUUAAAGUAAUGUUCAGGAUAACGGUAACGGGUACCAUCUCGGUCGGGUGCUGAAUAGGGAUUAAUUGGCGAAUCGGCCAUUUAACUGAAUUUAUUGGCAGGUUAACUAGGGCCAUACCAAACAUACAGCUAAAUAUUUGUGUUAGCCAUAUUCUGCUUGUCCCUCUACUAUCCUUUUUCUCUUUUCUUUCUCCAUAAGUCACGUUUGGGCUGUCCUCGCCGCUGCAAAGCUGAAGCCCAUUCAGCCCACUAGGGUUCCAGCGGUGGGUGUGUAAAAGACCCCCCCUGUGCAGCCACUCUCCUUGUCUCUUCCUUCUUCCCCUUCUCCAGCCGCCACCUUCUUCCUCUCUUCUCUUUCCCUUCCCAGAGCACGCCCCCAGCUCCUGCUUUCUCUCAUCCUCUGUGUCACACCGAGCGCCUGUCAUCUCUCUGCUUGUCUCCACUCUGAGGGAGCUGCACCGCCGUGGGAACUGACCGGCGGCUGCUUGAAUCGUGAGUGGGAGCCUGAACCCCCCCAAAACUGGAGAUGUGCACGGGCUGGGAAAUUUUGGGCUUUGGCAGCCCAAAACUGCAGCCAGUUAAUCUCUGCUCACCCAAAAAUUUGGUCUGACAACCGAUUUUUUGGCCUGUCAGACUGAUUACCUACCUGGGCGAUUUUCUCAGCUGAAUAGGUUUUUCGCAUCGGCCACCCUCCGAGACAUGAUUAACUGGCCAGUUAACUGUUAUCUCGGCCGAUAUUUGGAACACUGUUUUAAAGCAUAUUUGAUAUUCCUUCCGUCCACAAAAGUACAUUGUAUUUGACUAUCAGCAAUGGGCCCAGUAAAAUGAAUAGGCUAAAUUAUCAUCAUUCCUUUCUAUUGCUCCUGAGUGCCCCUGCAUGUUUUCUUUCCAAAGAGGCAACUCUGCUGAUGGGAGUAAUAGUUUGGGGGCAUAAUAGGAAAUGUGGAUUAAAAUGUCUACAAAAUUGUGAAUAGAGCAUAGUGAAGGACAAAAAAUGGCCAAGUGACCUACAUUUGUUUGGAAGGGAGUAACUGAUUAGCUGUACACACUUCUCUUUAGCUCCUACAUGAGCAUUUUCGUGGCUGUGACACUUCUCCAUGCCAAAGAUAUAGCAGGAAAAAUGGUUCUGGUGCCAUGUGCAUGCCUUUUUUUUAAUAUAGAACAGUGGGAGCCUUUCCUGCUGUAAGUUAUCAAAAAAGAAAGUUGAUAUUGUUUUUUGGAAAGAUACAUGUGGCAACUUGAUAAUCUGCCCUAAAUCCGAGAUUCUGUUCCUGUAAUGCUUUUGAUGAGCAUUUUUGCCAUUUCCUGUUGUGAAUUUGUUUUCUUUUGCCAAAAACUAGGGCAAUGGUCUCAGGUUGGAAAUUGAGUGGUGGCGUGUUGUCUAUUGCAGGUUACAUAUCCUUCGCCCUUGAAUGUGGAGAAGUGGCUACAAAACUGUGAGCAGAGCACAUUGAAGGACACAAAGUUCGAGCACAUUGAAGGUUACAUAUCCUUUGUCCUGUGUAUUGCCGCUGGAGAAGUGGUGAAUGAGUUGGUGUGGUUGUCUGACGGCAAGAAGCGUGUCAGUGGAGGCCGGAAGUUUGCCGCUGGCGGCAGAUGGUGGAAGUCAGGAUGGCCGCUGCGAAGGGAUGCCCAACCUUAUGUGCCAGUUGGGCGUUAUCGGGCGCCAGCGAUCUUUCUUGAGCUGCGUCUUGACCCACAGUUUGUCUACAUCGACUUACGUUGGCUGUUUUCUGGCUUAGGUCAUUCUAUAUAUUCUUGCCAUCCCAAAGCAUGUUUUGGAGAGUCCGCUUUGGCGCCGAAGUUUGUAGCAAUUUGCAGGAUACUAGAUCCAACUUGACAAAUGUGGCAACCCUGGUUUUUCUCCCCACUGCUGGCAGCAUGUGAGACCAGCUCAGCUGAUGAGCUAACAUUGAGAGAGUUUAUGGCCAGUUCAGUGGGUGGUGGCUCUGGUUUCUUUCUGACCUGGUGCAGUGGAGGCUGUUUAUUCAUGGCCAGAGUCCCAACUCCACCAAGUCACGGAGAUGACCUUUUGGUAGCCAGCGUGUAUGCAUGUAUUAGAGUAUGUAUUAUGUAUGUAACCUGGAUGGCCUAUGGCCUCGUUGUAUCUUUUUGUUGUUGUUGAGAAACAACCUUGUUGUAUCUUUUUGUUGUUGUUGAGAAACAGCCUUGUUGUAUCUUGGUGUGUUAAUGUAGUUUAGCGACAAUCUAUCUUAGUUUGGAUUUGGAUGCCCAUAUAAAUAAUAGGAUGACGAUAACUGCCACACGUGAGGGUUUAGG
rnacentral:lncRNA from 1 species